rnacentral:lncRNA from 1 species
UUUUUGCAUGUAAUUAGGCUAUAAAUAGAGAUGUUUUCAAAUGUUGAAGGACUUUUGCCUCUUUUAUCAUUUUCAUAAUCUCAACAAAAGAAAAAAGAAAGCUUCCAAUCUCAUUUUAUCUCCAUUACUUUCUACACCAAAAUUGGGUCCCACAACCCGGUUCUUUGUCUAGAGGAUAGCAGUUGAGUACUAGUGGUGGUCUCGGGUAGAAUUGGUAAGAAGACAUCAAACCUUUUGAAAGCUUCAAAGGUAAUACUUCUUAAAACCCUAAUUUGAUUAGUUUAUGGUUACAUGUUAAUUGUGGCAAUUAGGGUAGAAAUUCGAUUCUUUUUCCGCUGUGCAUGACUUAGUUCUAUCAUGUGGUAUCAGAGCAUGCUUCAUUUUUACCCAAUUGCAUGUGGUGGGUUCAUAUUUAUUAGAUAAAUUUUGGUUUGAACUAAAAUGGAUAUAUUAUGAUUUUGGCUCUAGAUUAAGUGUUUUUGUUCUAAUUAUUGUAAUUAGCCUUGUUAAUGGCUUAUUUUUAUUGUUGCAAAGUGUUUGUAAUUUUUUAAAAAAAUAAAAAAAGUCAUUAGAGUUGAAGCUAGGCUGUAAUUGGUUCAACCGGGUGAGAGAAUUGAAAAAAAUGAAGAAAAGAAGGUCACAGACCCGAAAACCCGGUUUUGACCCGCUUCGCGACCCGCACGCGCCCGCAUGCCCGCGCGCCCUCCUGCGCCCGCGCGCCCUCCUGCGCUCCUGCGUCCGCACGCGCCCCGCGCGCCCGCGCGCCCUCCUGCGCCCGCGCGCCCUCCUGCGCCCGCGCGCCUGCAUGCGCCCGCGCGCCCGCAUGUGCCGCGCGCCCGCAUGCGCCCGCGCGCCCGCAUGCGCCCGCGCGCCCGCCAUCGCCGCGCGCCCGCCUUCGCCCGCGCGCCUGCCUUCGCACGACCCGUGUGCGCCUGGGCCGGUUCAAGCCAAUAAAUUUGGUUUUUGGGCCGGUUCAAGCGGUUUCGGUUGGUUUUUUAGCCGGUUCGAAAUUUUUGGGAGUGGUUCUGUACUACACCAAAUUAAUUAUGUAAUAAUUUAGCACUUAGCUUAAUUUAGGAGCCAAAAAUCAGUCCAUUUUAGGGUGUUUUUUUUAUUUAUGCAUGUGAUGUAUGAUUAAAUUACUUUAAAUUUGUAUGUGCAUUUUGAAUGUCAUAUAGAUUUAAAAUCCCACCAUAGGUUAACAUGUUCAUGCAUUAAAAUGUAUGAUAUAAAGGUUAUAUUGUAUUGUAUGCAUGUUAAUUGAUUAAUAUGGAAAUUAAUUAAUAUGAUUAAUUAAUUAUUUAAUUAAUUAAGUUAUUCUUGAUUAAAUAUGAUUUAAUCAAAUUAAUUAAUUAUUGUUUGAUUUAAUUUAAUUAAAUAUGAUUUAAUUAAAGUUAAAUAAAUUAAAAUCCAUAUUAAUUGAUUGUUUUUAUUAUAUAUUGAUAAAAUGAUUGAUUAAGUUUAAAAGUUUUUAUAAGUGUUAUAAAAUAAAUUAGACUUUUAAAAUCAAUAACAAAGAUUAAAUGCAUGCUCACUUAGGUUAAACAUAUCUUCCAUUUUUCAUAGAAAUAGGUCGAUAUCUUGUAAAACUGGUUACAAAAGGCUCACCUGGUUCAAUCUUGUCAACAAGUCAGAUAAGAUGACUAAGGUUGGAGGUUCUUAAGUUGACGGUUUACGGAACACCUCCUACCUGGAGAUCGUAAUCAGUUCUUGAGCCUAGUUAACCUAGUUUUAUGAGCAUUCGUGAGAGGUGUGAGGUAAUAAAAAUGGUUUUUCACCUAGACAUCAUAGGUUAAAAUCCUGUAUAAUGGUUAUACUUGGAUGUUUUAUCUAGACUUAAGAUUUGUUUAAGUUAGCCUAAAUAUAAAUCUUGAAGUUUGGAUUACCCUAUUUUUUUCUUUUAGAACACUUCAACUAGAGAAAAAUAAUGUAUUUUAGCUCUAGUGUCCCUAAGAGUUCACACCGUGAGGUCCAUGCAGGGCUUUGUGCCGUGCAUAGGAGCGGCCUCCCUUCGGAGAGUGUUUGCAUGGAUCAAAAUCAAGGUGAAUAGGGGAAGUAGUUCAUAGUAAGUGGGUGAGGGAUUUGUGGCAGCACAUCCCACGGUCUCUUCCAUUAGGUCGCACCGUGAGAUUUCUAUAAUAUGCCUGCUUGUCUGCCCUGGAGCGACGUUCCCUUCGGAGGGUUGUAUUAUAGGAUUCGGAACACCGCGAACUCCAAAACUGGAUAGGAUUUCUUAGAUUAGUUUUCAUAAAUGAUUCUAAUCUAUAAAAUCUGAAAAUGGUGGGUAACACUUACAAGAAUUACUAAGUUGUUAGUAUAUUCUUGACUAAAGUAGCGAUAACUAAGUGCUAUAAAGAAUAAAGAGUUAUUCUUGAGAUAGCAUCUAGUCAAGAUUGUCUUGGUUCAAAGGAGGAAUAAUCAACUACCCUUCGGAGAAGGUUGUUCUAAACCUUUGAAAUAUUGUUGCAAAAUACAAAUAAUGAAAGGGUACAUUAUUAGUAAUUGCUAAAUUAGAUUGGAUAUUUUUUAUGAUUAUAGUUUUUUUCCUAAAAAGAAUAUGUUUGUUUUUCAGCAUGAAUAGCUCAAUAGUUCGACUUUUAGCUUCCGAAAAACUUAAUGGCGAUAAUUAUGCGGCUUGGAAAUCAAAUCUUAACACAAUACUAGUGGUUGGUGAUUUAAGAUUUGUCUUAACUGAGGAAUGUCCUCAAAACCCUGCCUCUAAUGAUAACCGAACUAGUCGGGAUGCAUAUGAUCGAUGGAUAAAAGCUAAUGAAAAAGCCCGUGUCUACAUUCUUGCCAGCAUGUCUGAUGUAUUGGCAAAGAAACAUGAAUCCUUAGCCACGGCUAAAGAGAUUAUGAAUUCAUUAAGGGGAAUGUUUGGGCAACCAGAAUUGUCCUUAAGACACGAGGCAGUCAAAUACAUUUACACUAAGCGUAUGAAGGAAGGGACCUCUGUUAGAGAACAUGUUCUGGACAUGAUGAUGCACUUCAACAUCGCUGAAGUGAAUGGUGGUCCCAUCGAAGAGGUUAAUCAAGUUAGUUUUAUCUUAGAGUCUCUUCCGAAGAGCUUCAUUCCAUUCCAAACGAAUGCGUCUUUGAACAAGAUAGAAUUUAACUUGACAACCCUUCUGAAUGAACUCCAGCGAUUCCAAAACCUUACUGUGGGUAAAGGAAAACAAGUGGAAGCAAAUGUUGCUACCACAAAAAGAAAAUUUAUAAGAGGAUCGUCCUCUAAAACCAAAGCUGGACCCUCAAAACCUAAUGCUCAAAUAAAAAAGAAGGGAAAGGGAAAGACUCCCAAACAGAACAAGGGUAAGAAAGGUGCAGAAAAAGGUAAGUGUUACCAUUGUGGCCAAAACGGGCACUGGUUAAGAAACUGCCCAAAAUACCUUGCAGAAAAAAAGGCAGAGAAGGAAACACAAGGUAAAUAUGAUUUACUAGUUGUAGAAACAUGUUUAGUGGAAUAUGAAAAUUGUACCUGGAUACUAGAUUCAGGAGCCACUAAACCAUAUUUGCUUCUCAUUUCAGGAAAAUAGUUCUUGAAAAAGCUUUCAGAAGGCGAGAUCACUCUCAAGGUUGGAACAGGAGAGAUGGUCUCAACUUCAGCAGUGGGAGAUUUAAAGUUGUUUUUUAGAGAUAGAUAUGUCAUACUUAAGAAUGUCUUAUAUGUACCUCAAAUGAAAAGAAAUUUAAUAUCUAUCUCUUGUAUUUUGGAACAAAUGUAUAGAAUAUCUUUUGAAAUUAAUGAAGCGUUCGUUUUCUAUAAAGGUAUUCUAGUUUGUUCUGCUAUACUUGAAGACAACUUAUAUAAGUUAAGACCAACUAGAGCAAAUUUUGUCUUAAAUACUGAAAUAUUCAGAACAGCUGAAAACUCAGAAUAAAAGACAAAAAGUUUCUUCUAAUGCCUAUUUAUGGCACUUAAGACUUGGUCACAUAAAUCUCAAUAGGAUUGGGAGAUUGGUUAAAAGUGGGCUUCUAAGUCCGUUAGAAGAUAACUCUUUACCUCCUUGUGAAUCUUGUCUUGAAGGAAAAAUGACCAAGAGAUCUUUUACUGGAAAAGGUCUAAGAGCCAAAGGACCCUUAGAGCUCGUACAUUCGGACCUUUGUGGACCAAUGAAUGUCAAAACUCGAGGUGGAUAUGAAUAUUUCAUUAGCUUCAUUGAUGAUUAUUCAAGGUAUGGUCAUAUUUACCUAAUACAUCAUAAGUCUAAUAGUCUUGAAAAGUUCAAAGAAUAUAAGGCUGAAGUAGAAAACGAAUUAGGUAAAACAAUAAAAAUACUUCGAUCAGAUCGAGGUGGAGAGUAUAUGGACUUACGAUUCCGAGACUAUUUAAUAGAAAAUGGAAUCCAGUCACAACUCUCUGCACCUAGUACACCUCAACAGAACGGUGUAUCAGAAAGAAGAAACUGGACCUUGUUAGACAUGGUUCGCUCUAUGAUGAGUUUUUCUCAGAUGUCAGAUUCUUUUUGGGAUAUGCUUUAGAAACAGCUGCUUAUAUUUUGAAUAAUGUUCCCUCUAAAAGUGUUUCAGAAACACCUUAUGAGCUAUGGAAAGGGCGUAAAGGCAGUUUACGUCAUUUUAAAAUUUGGGGUUGUCCAGCACAUGUGUUGGUACAAAAUCCAAAGAAAUUGGAACAUCGUUCAAAAUUAUGCUUUUUUAUAGGUUAUCCAAAAGAAUCAAGAGGUGGUUUGUUUUAUGAUCCUCAAGAAAAUAAAAUAUUUGUGUCAACAAAUGCCACAUUCUUAGAGGAAGACCACAUCAGGGAUCAUCAACCUCGUAGUAAACUAGUAUUUAAAGAAAUUUCCAAAAGUGCUAUAGAUAAAACCUAGUUCAUCCACUAAAGUAGUUGAUAAGACUAGGAAAUCUGGUCAAUCACAUCCUUCUCAACAGUUGAGAGAGCCUCGACGUAGUGGGAGGGUUGUUCAUCAGCCUGAUCGCUAUUUGGGUUUAAUUGAAACUCAAGUCGUCAUACCUGACGAUGGCAUAGAGGAUCCAUUAACCUAUAAACAGGCAAUGAAAGAUGUAGAUCGUGACCAAUGGAUCAAAGCCAUGGACCUCGAAAUGGAGUCUAUGUACUUUAAUUCUUUCUAGACUCUAGUAGAUCAACCAAAUGACGUAAAACCUAUUGGUUGUAAAUGGAUCUACAAGAGAAAACGAGACCAUGCCGGUAAAGUACAGACUUUUAAGGCUCGACUUGUGGCAAAGGGUUAUACCUAGAGAGAGGGAGUAGACUAGAGGAAACUUUCUCUCCCGUUGCCAUGUUAAAGUCAAUUAGAAUACUCUUAUCCAUCGCCACUUUUUAUGAUUAUGAAAUUUGGCAGAUGGAUGUCAAGACAGCUUUUUUGAACGGUAAUCUUGAAGAGAGUAUCUAUAUGUCUCAACCAGAGGGGUUUAUAAAACAAGAUCAAGAACAAAAGGUUUGUAAGCUUAAAAAAUCCAUUUAUGGAUUAAAACAAGCUUCUAGAUCCUGGAAUAUAAGAUUUGAUAUUGCGAUCAAAAUCUUAUGGCUUUGAACAAAAUGUUGACGAGCCUUGUGUUUACAAAAGGUCGUCAAUUCCAUUAUAGCAUUUUUUAGUCUUAUAUGUAGAUGAUAUUCUACUUAUUGGAAAUGACUAGGAUAUCUUCCUGAUAUCAAGAAAUGGCUAGCUAUGCAAUUUCAAAUGAAAGAUCUGGGAGAUGCACAAUACGUUCUCGGAAUCCAAAUUGUUCGAAACCGUAAGAACAAAACACUAGCCAUGUCUCAAGCAUCUUACAUAGACAAAAUGUUGUCUAGAUAUAAAAUGCAGAAUUCCAAAAAGGGUCUGCUGCCGUACAGAUAUGGAAUUCAUUUGUCAAAGGAACAAUGUCCUAAGACACCUCAAGAAGUUGAGGAUAUGAGAAAUAUUCCCUAUGCUUCCGCUGUUGGAAGUUUAAUGUAUGCAAUGUUAUGUACUAGACCUGACAUUUGCUACUCAGUAGGGAUGGUCAGUAGGUAUCAAUCCAAUCAUGGACGUGAUCACUGGACAGCCGUUAAAAACAUUCUACAUGCUCAUGUAUCGUACAAAGGAUCUGAUCCUUACUGGAUACACUGAUUCAGAUUUCCAAACUGAUAAAGAUGUUAGAAAGUCUACAUCAGAUCAGUAUUUACUCUAAAUGGAGGAGCAGUAGUUUGGAGAAGCAUAAAGCAAACUUGUAUAGCUGAUUCCACAAUGGAAGCUGAUCAUUUUACAAAAGCCCUCACGGCUAAAGUGUUUGAGGGUCACCUACACAGUUUAGGUGUACGAUGUUUGUAAACUAGGACAAGUGGGAGACUUAUUGGCCAUGUGCCCUAGUUUCAUAUAUAUUCUCUCACACCACAUCUCUCAUACCACUAGGAAUUUUAGUCCAAGUGGGAGUUUGUUGGAAUUUUUUGUCCUAAAACUCGUAGUUUGUAAAUCAUAUUCUAUUCAAUAAAGUUGUUAUUGAGAAAUUAAAUAUUAUAAUCUUAAAUCCAAUAAAUCAAAGUUCCAAGGCUAUUUUUUGAAUAAACUUGAACUUUAUGUGUAAACAUAAACGUGGAUCAAGUUCGAGUAUAUAGCCUAAAUAGUCUAUAGUAUAUGAAAUAAAGGUUGGGCGCCUUAUUUUGAGAGACUAUGGAUGCGGCCCACUUUGUAGUACAAACGAUGUGAUCCUAAUCGUUCAUGUAGAGACAUGAAAGUGGGGGCAUCCUAUGUAAAAUGUUUACAUAAGACUGAACCAUGAAUUAGUCAUUUUUACGUUAUAACACCGUUUACUGUUUAAAACUGACUAUCUCAAUUAUUGAUGACCUAGGUAACUUAGUCUUAAUCCUGAGUUAACUAUGAACUCCUGUUCAUACGAGAUUAUCCUUAGAUCUGCAUAGGUGAGGGCAGCUCAUCAGCGUUGGCCCAAUAAGCCUCCCAUUUCAGGGGUAAGAUCGGGUGGAUAGCUGGGAACAUAGGGUACAAGAUGGAAUUCACUCCUACCCGCUUUAGGGUUAGUAGAUAGGUUGCUCUCUUAAGCACUGAAUCCAAGUCUUGAACAAGGGGCCCCACCCUCUCAUUGGCCCGAGAGGGAUUAAGUUUAUAGGUUGAACCUUAAACCAAUUGUUCAAUAGUGGAUUAGUGGGACUUAAGGAGCAAGAUGUAAUCUUGGGGGUAAAACGGUAUUUUGACCCAGCCAAGGUUACGAGCAACCUGUGAAGGAUUAACUUACUGAUUAUGGUUUUAUCAAAUGGACACAAAUAUAUCUAUAGUGAGGGGAGUGCAACUACGGGACUUUAGUGGAAUGACCCGUUAGUUAACGAAUGUUGAUUAACUCGGUUUAAAAGAGUUUAGCUAGUUAAUCUUGAAUCGUUGGAGCCCAUGAUCUAUAGGUCCAUUAGGUUCCUCUGCUAGCUCAUAUGGAUUAAACUUAGAACAGUGUGAUGAAAUAAGUCGAAUUGUUCGAAUAGGGAGAAGAAAGGAAAACCGACAUAUACAGUGAUAUAAUCGUCGGUCUUCUAAUUAGAAAUAGAGCUUUAUGUUUUACAUACUAUAAGUAUGAAUGCGGAUUCAUACUAAGAAGCUCGGAAUUGGUCAAAAAUAGUAAAAAGUCAAAAUGUUGACUUUUGACUUUGAAAAGUCAAACUUUGACCGGCCUUAUAUUCAAAUGUGAUUUGAAUUUUGGAAAAAUGAAUGCGGAUUCAUGCUCGGGAGGUUGGAAUUAGUCAAGACGGACAAAAUGGUAAAAAGUCAAAAUAUUGACUUUUGACUUAGAAAAGUCAAAGUUUGACUUUUGACUAGAAAAAUCUAAUGACCAUUUUACCCUUGGACUAAGUUAGUGGGAAAAUCCAACAUUUUGUUGGAUAAUCCCACUAACUCUUAGUGGGAUAUGUGGCUAUAUGAGAUAUAGACACCUAGCCCACUAAGUUCCACUAAUUGUUAGUGGAAUAUUAGGUGUUGAGAUUUGGCAAUUGAAUUGCAUGCAUUUUUGCAUGUAAUUAGGCUAUAAAUAGAGAUGUUUUCAAAUGUUGAAGGACUUUUGCCUCUUUUAUCAUUUUCAUAAUCUCAACAAAAGAAAAAAGAAAGCUUCCAAUCUCAUUUUAUCUCCAUUACUUUCUACACCAAAAUUGGGUCCCACAACCCGGUUCUUUGUCUAGAGGAUAGCAGUUGAGUACUAGUGGUGGUCUCGGGUAGAAUUGGUAAGAAGACAUCAAACCUUUUGAAAGCUUCAAAGGUAAUACUUCUUAAAACCCUAAUUUGAUUAGUUUAUGGUUAGAUGUUAAUUGUGGCAAUUAGGGUAGAAAUUCGAUUCUUUUUCCGCUGUGCAUGAAUUAGUUCUAUCAAUAUAUAUAUAUAAAAAGAAAAAUAUUAGGAUUCAAUCCCAACUCCUAGCUCAAUCUCAACUCCUAAGAUUUGUUGGUUUGUUGAGAAGUAGAAGGAGAAGUUGGUGAUGGAUGCAUUUCUUACCCUAUAAAUAGAUAACAAAGUUGAGAGCAAAAAUCAUUCCCUUCUUCAUCAUCACUUUUUGGCUUUCAAAAGUUUUUCGAAUUUUCUUUUUUAUGAAUGGUAGCAACUCAAAGAAAAGAAGAUUUUUUUUUUUUUAAUUCAAGUUAUUUUCACUUUACUAUUUUUUAUAUAUAUAUUUUUUCAUAUGUAUUUUCUUUUCUUUUUUCAUUUUCUUUUUCCCUUUUUUUUAACUGACUUUCACUUUGGCCAUUUUUUUUCAGUCAUUCCUUGAAGGCUCUAUGCAAGUAUCUUGGCUUCAUGGGUUUGUACAUGAUAGACGAUGCAACUCUAUCAUGGCGUCUAUACAACUCUAUCAUGGCGUCUACUGUUUCUUCGGGUUCUGCUUCUUGGGUUUGUACAUGAUAGACAAUGCAACUCUAUCAUGGCGCCCACUGCUGUUGCGACUUUUUGGGUUUGUACAUGAUAGACGAUGCAACUUUAUCAUGGCGCUCAUUGCACAUAUUGGGUUUGUACAUGAUAGACGAUGCAACUCUAUAAUGGCGCCCACUGUUGCUGCGACUUCUUGGAUUUGUACAUGAUAGACGAUGCAACUCUAUCAUGGCGCCCAUUGUUGCUGUGACUUCUUGGGUUUGUACAUGAUAGACGAUGCAACUCUAUCAUGGCGCCCACUAUUUCUUCGGCUUCUGCUUCUUGGGUUUGUACAUGAUAGACGAUGCAACUCUAUCAUGGCGCCCACUGCUGCUGCGACUUUUUGGGUUUGUACAUGAUAAACGAUGCAACUCUAUCAUGGCGCCCAUUGCUGCUAUGACCUCUUGGGUUUGUACAUGAUAGACGAUGCAACUCUAUCUUGGCGCCCACUAUUUCUUCGGCUUCUGCUUCUUGGGUUUGUACAUGAUAGACGAUGCAACUCUAUCAUCGCGCUCAUUGCUGCUGUGACUUCUUGGGUUUGUACACGAUAGACGAUGCAACUCUAUCAUGGCGCCCACUACUUCUUCGACUUUUUGGGUUUGUACAUGAUAGACGAUGCAACUCUAUCAUGGCGUCCAUUGCUGCUGUGACUUCUUGGGUUUGUACAUGAUAGACGAUGCAACUCUAUCAUGGCGUCCACUGCUGCUGCGACUUCUUGGGUUUGUACAUGAUAGACGAUGCAACUCUAUCAUAGCGCCCAUUGCUGCUGUGACAUCUUCGGUUUGUACAUGAUAGACGAUGCAACUCUAUCAUGACGCCUAUUGCUUCUUCGACUUUUUGGAUUUAUACAUGAUAGACGAUCCAACUCUAUCAUGGCGCCUACUGCUGCUGCGACUUCUUGCGUUUGUACAUGAUAAACGAUGCAACUCUAUCAUGACGCACAUUGUUGUUGUAACACGUCGAAGAAGAUGAAGAUAAAUUCUCCCGGCUGCAACAUAUGUGAGAAUGAAGAUGAUGAUAGUUGCUGCAACACGUCGAAGAUGCUGAUGAUGACGGCUGCUGCAACAGAUCGAAGAAGAUGAAGAUAAAUCCUCUCGGCUACAAUACAUCGAAGAAGAUGAAGAUGAAUCCUCUCGACUGCAGCAUAUGUGAGAAUGAAUAUGAAUUCUCUCGACUGUAACACCUAAGAGAAAAUGAAGAUGAUGACAGCUAUUGUAACACGUCGAAGAUGCAGAUGAUGACGGCUGCUACAACACGUCAAAGAAGAUGGAGAUGAAUCCUCUCAGCUGCCACAUAUGUGAAAAGAUGAAGAUCCUCUCGACUGUAACACGUGGGAAGACGAAGAUGAGGAUAGCUGCUGCAACACGUUGAAAAUGCAGAUGAUGACAACUGCUGCAACAUGUGAGAGAAGAAGAUGCUCCACUCUCAGCCACAACACUUGAGGAAAAGCUAGAGCUUACUAAUUUGACUUUGCCCCCUUUCUUUUCUGUUGUAACUCCUCAUGAAUUUCAUUUUCUAUUGAGAUUACAUCAUCGCGGCGAAACAUAAUACCUUUUUUUUUUCGUUCGACUGAACUCAAAGUAAACUUUAAGUUGCCUACGUACCCUUUUUUUAUAACAUAAAGAUGAAGUCAUAACGUAGUUCAAUUGAGUUUUUUUUUUUUUUUUUUGUCAUUCACCUUUUGAGCUCUUGUGGACUAGGAGCAUCAUGCAGUUUAGGUUCUUGCGAUAAGGAGCUUUAAACAUUUAACAAAUAUUUUCAUCAAAAAAUUUGUUCACCUUCAUUUGUAGAAUUAGUGAAUAUAAUAAUUUUUGGCUUCACGAUCAAGGGACCUUCUGUGUUUAUGUCAACAGAUAACUUCCUCUUCAUGCGUGAUAGGACACAACUGCGUAUCUUCUCACCAUUGUUUUCUUCAUGAAGUGAUUUUACCUUCAAAGUUUUCAUCUCUUUUUCAUGUUGAUCGUUUGUCAUAUUUAGUCGAUUAAAAACAGAUGUUGAAGGUUGAUCUUUCUUUGAUGUGGAGAUACUUAGCCUUUUGAAAGCUGAAGUUCGAGUGGAAGUAGAUGUUGAACAUUGAUUUUCUUCUUCUUUCGUGGCCAUACUCAAUCUUCGAAAGACUGAAGAUCGAGUAGUUGAAUGCUUGAUACGAUCAAAGACAGAAGUCCUUUGCUUAAUUUCAUGUGAAUUGUCGAUUUCUUCAAAAUAUGCAUAAUUGUUGUCGACUUCUGUUAUACUGACGACAUGACAUGCAGUGACUUCUAAUACUUCCUUGGGAUGAACAUCAAGAAAGCUUCUUGGGAGGAAUUCUCUCAAAGUUAUCGACCGUCGAGGCCGACAGAAGUCCUCGUCUUUUUCCUUCACAGACUUAGGCUUCCACAUCUUGUUUCUUUUUGCUUUCUUUUCAUGGAAGAUGUUUCCUUUUGCAUGCUUUUGACGGAAUGACGACUCUUUUUUAAUGGAAUUUGGUUGUCUUCCUUUUCGAUGAGUCACAACUAUCCAUCCUUCGUCAUCAUCUUCAACAUGCUCUUCUUUGUUUUGGGAGUUUGUCGUCACGAUCCUUUGUUGGAAUUGGACAACUGUAGGUUCAAAAGUCCAAAACUGAAUUAAGCUUUUCCUUUGAUCAUAAAUUUGUGUUGAUGGUGGAACACUUGAAGUCAUCUUGACUGCAACAUGAUUCAUCUCAGCUAAUUCAUCAAUAUCCAGCUCGAUCUUCUUUUCACGAGCUAACUUUAGAAUCAACUCUUUUAACACGAAACACUUUCCAACAGGGUGACUAAUGACCCGAUGAUACUUACAGUAUUUAGGAUCAUUUACUUUUUCUGCUUGUUUCGGUCGUUUGCAUUCUGGCAGUUGAAUAAGUUGCUUAUCUAGAAGCUGCUCUAGCAUGUCUGCAACAUCAGAGUCAGGAAAUGGAUAAACUUUUUCCUGUCUUUCUUUAAGAGUUGAGCGUUGCUUUUCCUCGCUAUCACGCUUUCCUUCAAUUUUUGUUUCUUUUCUUUUAGAGAAAUAUUUCAAAGGGGUUGCAUGAACAACCAUAGACUCGUUUAUGACACUAUUUGCAAUCAUUUUAGUGUCAUCAGUUUCAUUCUUGUCACUCCUCAUUUUUGGAACCAAGAAAUCUUUUGCUCCUCUGCGUGUGAUACUUAGUUUCAUAUCAUGGGCACGAGUCUUCAAACGUGCGUGGUUUUAUCCCCUGCAAAAUAUAGAGAAGUUCCCAAUGCAUGCCUUGGGUGCACAUCUCAACUGCAAAAAUUUUUGUGAGCUUGUCUUUACAAUCCAAGCUUAGAGCUCUCCAUCGGUUUAUGUAGUCGAUAACUGGCUCCCUCUUUCGUUGUUUGGUGUUUGUCAACUCCAUCAUGCUGAUGAUACAUCGGGUGCUGUAGAAGCGAUUGAGAAAGUCUCCCUCAAGCUGCUCCUAACUGUCAAUGGAUUCAUGUUCCAGGUCGAUGUACCAGUCGAAGGCGUUUCCUUUUAGAGUUCGAACGAACUGUUUUACCAACAAAUCUCCUCUCGUACCAGCCGUUUCACAUGUUUCAAUGAAGUGAGCAACAUGUUGUCUUGGGUUACCGUUUCCAUCAAACUGUUGAAACUUUGGUGGUUGGUAUCCAUUCGACAUUCUGAGAUUGUCGAUCCUCUUCGUAUAUGGUUUGGAAUACAAAGAGAGAGUUUGAACAGGUCCACCGUAUUGAGUUUUGAUGGAGUUUGCAAUCAUUUCCUGUAACUGCUGAACAGACAGCGAUGCAAUUGAAGUCGAAUUUUGUGGAUGACUUUCCUGCAUAAUUGCCUUCCCUUUGUCAUUAUUUUUGACAGUAUGUGUAUGGUUUGACUCAGCAGCAUCACGAUGUUCGAUGUGAUUCUUGAGAGAUGCAAUCUCAUUAUCCUUUUCUUCAACGACCUUCAUGAGUAUGUUGAUCUUCUUUUCCAGCUCAGCCAUUCUGUCUUCAUUUGUAUCAACGCCAGUCACUAUAACUGGCAUGAUAUUUGGAUGAGGCAUCUCCUCAUUCGAGCGUUCACAGGAGGAAAUUUGUUCGUCAAUCAAAGGAUUUUCUUUGAUUAUAAUUCCACCUUUUGGUAGUUUGGACAGUUAUUCCCAAAUGUUCUUUGCGGCCUCAAAGGAUGACAUUUCCUCAGAUGAUUGAGUCUCCCUUGAGCGGCCACGAGUAUUUGACUACUUGCCGAUGUCACUUGAAGCUUUGGAAGUAUUGCCUUGAGAUGUCAUGAUAUCUUUAGACGUUCUUCAAAAGAGAAAGAGAUGAAAGGUAGAGAUCGUCCCACUGGGCGUGUCAAACUGUUCACACGAGAUUUCGAAGAAAUGUAUUUCGUGAAAUUGAAUUUUGUUAUAUUGAUGAAUAUUGUGAAUACAAUCUCUAGUAUUUACUCAUUUGAUGUUUUCUCUUGAAUACAAGUUAAAAACUUAGAAUUUCUUGAUCUUCAGUCUUUAGGAUGUUGUAGUUGCAAGUCUAUUUGAGCUUCAGUCUUCUGGAAUUCAAGGAAAGUUUGAUCUUCCAAGUCUUCAAUCUUUCAGAAGAUGAUGAUCUCGAAGUUGAUAAGAACUUGCACGUCUUGAGAGCUUUAUAGAAGUUUGAAUCUUCAAUUCUUUAGAGCUUUAGUACUUCAGAGCUUCAAUUCUUCCUUCAACAAGAGACCAUCCUCAAAUGAAUGACAAAGGUCUCUAUUUAUAGAGAAAUUUUGUGAACUUUAGAUGGGCUUUGGCCCAUUUGCUUGUUGAGAUUGGACUUUGACCAAUUUGCCUGUUGGGCUUAGGUUUGGACUUAUUUGCCUUAUUGAGUUUGGACUUGGACUUGGGCUCAUUUGCUUUAUUGGGAUUGGGUCUAUCUGCUUGUUGAACUUGAAUUGGGUUGGAUUGAGUAAAUUUAACUAUCAAAAUCCAAUAAAAUAUAAUUAUCGAAUAUUUGUUGUGAUGAUGUGACAAAUUUAAUUGGCCAAAAUUUCUUGCUCAACAAAUAGAUAUUCAUUAUACUCCAUAUACGUCAUUCCCUUAACAUUCCACCUAAUGUGUCGUAUAUCUUGAAGAAUGUCUAUUACCACGUGUCACUCCUUCCACACCCCAUCUAAUCUACUACAUACUUUUGCCAAAUUGCCUAAUAUACCAGAAAGUGGAUUUUGUAAGAUACACGUAUUUUUGCUAAAUAAAUGGGGGAGAGUGGAGUAUUUUUACAUUUUUUAUUUCUUAUUUUCUUAAUUUUAUCUAUAUAUAAUAUUAUAUUUCCUCAUGAAAUAAAAGGGAAGAAUUUGUUUAAUUAUAUAUAUUUACAUGUGUUUUCAAAUAAGUUAUCAAUAAAUAAUAAAUUAGUUUUAAAAUUAAAAACAAAUAUAAUUAGGUUUAGAAUCUCUCUUAUAUCUAUGUGUAAUCUUGUUUACUGAUAGAAAAGAGUUGAAUACAUAUUCAUAUUUGUUUUUCGUUGAAUUGAAUUAAAAUUGUGUUGAUUUCGUAUGGUAUGUUUAAAUUUAUAGCAUUGAUUUGGUAUGAUAUGUUUAAAUUUAUAGUGUUUGAUCCUCUAAUUCUCUCUUGAUCAAAUGCGUAUGUUUGAUGUAUGGACGCGGAUAGCGAUUGAGUAUUCUUUCUUUGUCAAUCGUGUAUUCUCUUUAGGUUUUUUGGGUAAAAAAUUUAUGAACUUUAAACGAAGAGAGCUACUCUAUUUAUAGAGAUUUCUUUAAUGGGCUUUAUGAACUUGAACAUAGUUGGUCCAUAGAUGAAACAUCUAAGUCCAACCAUAUCAAUUUGGGUCUUGUUUAUCGUUUGAACUACAUUAAGUAUCUAACUUAAAUUGAACUUUAAAUCAAAUAAAUAAUAUUUAACUAUACCAAAAUAAUAAAUUUGAUCAAAUGAUCAUGAUGAAAAACAUGUGGCGUCAUCAAGAUUUUUUCAUUUAUGUGUUCUGUUUCAAUUUGGUAUAGAUGUCAACUUUAAUUAAUCUCAAGUUCAAUUAUUUGUAUUUUUUAUCGUUAAUUUGGUAAAUAACGUGACAAUUUAUGAUUGACCCAAACAUUUUCCUUCAACCAUAUUGUCAAAUAAGUUAUAUGUGAUAUUUUUUAAGAAAAAUAAUUAAAAAAUUAAAAAAUUAUCUUUUAAAAUUAUAUUUGUAUGUGUUCUCAAAUAUGCAAGCAGCAAGAUGCUAUAGUUUUCAAAAUUUAAAAAUAAAAAUAAAAUGGUUACCUACAGUCUUAAUUCAAUUGAUGUUUUUAUAAAAAAAUUCAAACCAUCUAAAAAGUUGUUACUAUUAUAUAUGAAAAUAAAUUAAAUAUUGAGUUAUUUACUAAUUUCUAAUUUCGGAGGAACAGUGUACAAUUUUUUUGGUGUAUAAUACUUACUCUUCUAAUUAAGUUAUUAGUAAAUAGUUAUAUUUGUUUGUAUUAGAAAUAAAAUUGAAAAGAAAAACGAAAUAUAUGUAUUUAUACGUAAAAAUGUGUACAAAUCAGUAAAUAUACAAAAUAUUUACAGCACGAGUAAUAAAAUGAAAAAACUUAUGAAACGAUACAUUUUUUUAAAAUUAUUUUAGAUUUAUCCUUCAUUUUCAUUAUCUUUCUUAUCGUGAUUUUUUUUUCUCAUGGUUUUUUCUCUUCUUUUAAUAUUUUUCUUUUAUUUUUCUAAAGAGUUAUUUGGUUACCAAAUAUAAAAGAUAUAUUUUAAAAAAAAAUUUCAAACCAUUUAUUUAAUUAUUUCAAAUAUAAAAUAUCUUGAAAUAUUGUUGAAGUAUUCAGUUUAGGCUAACUAAAUUUAAAUUUGGGAGCAACAUCUAAACUAUCCGAUAAAGAAGAAUAACAAAUCUAACUAUGAUUUUCCAAAUAUAUUAGGUGGUUGCUAAUUAUUCACAUAGCAUCUUUUUUUGUAAUUUUUGACAUUUUCCUAUUUUUGUAAUUUUUGACAUUUUCCUAUUUUUGUAAUUUUUGACAUUUUCCUUAUAAACAUUUUACCAUUAAAAGACCUUUGUGUAAAAUUAAUAAUUAAGAAAAAAAAAACAAAAGAUACGAAGACAAAAUAUCAUUGUUGAAAGAUCCGAUAGCAAAAGAAAAAUAUAACAUUAAAUGAAAAGAAGGCAUGAAUUUUUAUUUGAAAAAAAUACAUGCACAAAAAAGAAGCAGACGAUAUGAAGAAAAAAUAUGAUUGUGUCCAAAAAUUAAACGAAAAAAGAGAAAGUAAUCAAAUUGAAAAGAAGAAAAAAAAAAAAAAGACGAAUGAUGAAUGAUGCAAUGUAUAAGUAGGAAGCAACGUUUGUAUUUAUUUUUAAAUUUUAUUUUAGUCUCUUGAGAUGCAUUUCGAGAAGAGAAAGAGUCAUGGAGAAAAUGAUUAUGAUUCGGAUAUAUGUAUUUGAGAGAAUGUAUGAUAGUGUUAGGAUAGUAUGUGUUUGAGAGAAAGAUUAUGAAUAAUAGUGUUAUGAUAGUAUACGAAGGAUUAUGUGAGAAAGAUUAUAAAAAUUAUUAUUUUUUAAAAAUUCAUAUUCAAAAUCAAAUACCAAAUUGUCAUAUAUUCAUAAAACAAGUUGGAUUAGUUUUCUUAGAUAUGAUGUCCAUUUUCAUCGUCUUGCACGUUUCGUGCCAAUAAAUUAUUUUUAUUAUUUUAAAUUUAAACACACAAGUUAUAUAUAUUUAAGUUACCAAAUCAUCUUACUUUUUUUGUAAAAUAAUUAAAUUUCAUAUGUUUAACAAUUGAUUUAAACCAAAUACGAACACCAUAAUUUCAUGAAACAAUAUACGAAAGAACAAAAUAGUUUUUAGAAAAAUAGUUAUAAACUGAAGUCAAUUACAUAAAACAUAGUGCAAAAGCAAAAGUUAUUAUUAUUUUUAAUAAAUUUAUAUUCUAAUUCCAAUAUACAAAUUUCAUAUAUUUAAUUUACCAAAUCAUUGUAGUUUUCAUAAAACAAUUUACAGUAAUUUCUUUAAAUAUCACAUCAAUUUUCAACAUAUUUUGCGUAAUGGUUACGUGCGAUUAAAUUGUUAAUUUUUUAAAAUUUAUAUUCUAAAUUCAAUACACAAAUUUUGUAUAUUUAAUUUAUUAAAUUAUCCUAAUUUUUAUAAUGCAUGAUAAAAAAGAAAAUUUGGGACAAGGAGUGUAAUUAAAAUAAAUUACCUAAUUCAAGAGUAAAAGAAGAAAUUAAAAUUUUAAAUUAAUGUAAUUGUAGCCAAUGUUGUGUUUUUUAGAUAGAAAGAAAAUAAAUUAAAUAAUAUUUAAAAUUGAAAUUGAUUAAUUAUAAAUAUGGAAUGAUUGAGAUGCAUUGAUGAAAGAAUAAGGAAGGAUUGGGUAAGAAACCAGGAAUGAGUGAGGAAAUUGAGGAAAGGUUAUCAAACCCUUCCCCAAACAAUUACAACUCUUUCCCUCCCCAAACACACCUUAUGUGAUAUAGAAAUGAAAACUUAAAAAAAAAAAAAAGUCAAUGGUGAUUUGAUUAUAUAUAGAUUUAAAGCUGUUAAGAAAAAAGAAAAAAGCAGAAGAUGGAGUCCAUUUUAAUUUUUGAAAAGUAUUAAUAGAAGUAGUAUUGUAAUAUUUAUGGGUAAUAUAUAACAAGAAAAUGACAUAAUUAAAAGUAAAGCUGGACACAUUUGACUUUGUAAAUAGAGAAGAAAAUUUGGUUGAAGGGAAAAAGGGAAACAGACAAACCAAGAUUCAAAAUAGCUGGCACACGGAAGAAAAGCAUUGGCCCAUGUGCCAUUUAAUUACUUCCAACUUGCAACUCACCUUUUCUUUUUUUUUUUUUCUUUGCUAAUCCUAAUUCCAAAUGUUUUAUAUAUAUAUAUAUAUAUGAAUGUAAUCCACAUGCAAAUAGUAAUUUAGAGAUCCUUCCAAUAAUGUAAACAAAAAUAAUUACACCAUUUAAUGGUCCAUUAUUCUCUCAAUAGUGUAAACAAUAGAAUUAAAAAUCUGCCAUUGAAAAUUGGUUGAUAUCUAAAACACAAUAUUUUAAUCAUUUAAAGAUAGAUAGGUUUGGAAAAUGAAUUUGAAUUGGGUUAGAAAGAUUUAAAAGAAAUAGAAAAAUAGUUUUAGAAAUCGUGUAUGUAUUGGAAAGAUGAGAGACAGUGUUAUUCUAUUCCUCUAAACCUCCUCAGGCAGCAGCCCUUGUAAGAUGGUCCCCUCCUGCCCCUCCCUUUUUCAUGUUUGUCCUCGCUGUAUAAUUAUUUACUUCUUUAUAUGUUAUUUGUUCAUUUUUCAAAAUUAAGGUACAUAUUCUACCAAAUUAUUAUUACAAAUUCACUAAUUAUAUAUGUAUAUAUAUUAAAUUCAGCAUUUAUUAUUAUUAUUAUUAUUAUUUUGUUUAUUCUAAGAGAAAAUCGUAAAAAAAUAUAUGAUAAAACGGACACAAUAUUUAUAAUAAAAUCAAUGUAGACAUUUUUUGUCCUUUUGUAAAUAUUUUUGGUACAUUGUUAAUUUUUUUUUUUUUCAUUUUUCUUUUCGUUCAACAAGAGCAAAAACAAAGUAUGUUAAUUAAUUUACAGGCUUAGUAUCCUUUAAAAUUUACAUACAAUACAUCCAUAGCCUCUAACUUAUCCCUCAUUUUAAAUGAAAAGUUGAAGAACAAUCCAUCAAAAUUUUGAACUUUUUUUUUUUCUUUUAACACUCAAAGAUAAAACUAAAACUAUGUUAUAUGUUUUGAUAAAAAUAGAAAAACUUGCAAACUUUUCCUCAUUCAAGAGAGAGAAAGAUUCUGCCACUCUGAACCACUCAUUCGGUUCAUAGUUUUUAGAAGCAUAUUAUUAUUACUCAUUUGCAUUUUUUUAAAAAGGAAAAAAUAUAGAACAUGAAGUGGUAGUGGAGAAGAUCAUAAAUUGAAAAAUUAACCAAGAUUGUGGAAUCUGUUUUACAGAGACAAGAAGAAGGAAGGAAGGAAGGAACAGAGAGACGAGAACGAUCAAAUACCAAUUUUAAAACGAUUCAAAAACUGAGUACUGCCGUCUUCAUUUUCAUCUCAUCCUCAUUUCUUCAUUUCAAAAACCUCCGUACGCUUCGCCGCUUUCAUCUAUGGCCAUGCCUUUCCCUCUCCAUUCUUCUUCUUCCUCUUCUUCUUCCUCUUCCUCUUCCUCUUCCUCUUCCUCUUCCCUUCUUGUCACUUUCUGCCCCCACCUCUAAUCCCACUUAACCCCUUUUUUUAAUCCCUUCUUAAUUAUUAUUUUAUUUUUCCUCCUUUGUAUAUAUCGCUCCCUCCAUUUCCAUUUCCAUUUCCCUCUCUCAAACUCUCUUCCUCUUUGGCCCCCCUCUCUUCUAAGAUUCCUUCGGCCUGCCGAGGGAUUUGAGUUUUCAGGUCUGUUUUCUUUCUGUGUUUCUCCUUUUUUCCUCAAUUUCUGGAUCCCCUUUUCUUUUCUUUGUUUUGUUUUGUUUUUUAUUUCAUGUCUGAUUUCUUACCCUUUUUAUCUGAUUUCUUUGUCCAUGUCUUUCCUGGGUUGUUUUCAUUUUGGGUUUUUUCAUACCAUGAAUGAGAUUAGUGUUUCUACUAAUAAUGUAUGUUCUUCAUCGCAAUGUAUUCAACUCUUUUUUGUUUGAGUUCUAAUGUUUUUUUGGAUUUGCGCAUCUGUUUUUGCUUUUACCUUUUCUCCAUAAACUUUAUCUGCUCUUUUGAAAGGAGGUGUUUUUUUUUUUUCUACUGUAUGAAUUCUUUGGUAACAUAGACCAUUUAUGGAUGAGAUUUGUUUUUCCUUGUAUCAGCUUUAGGAUUUUUUGUUUGUAGUUUAGAUCCUUGUGUAUUUCUGCAGUUUACUUUGUUCUGGGGUUGUUUGCUGCGGAUUUUGUUCAUAGUUUAUUGAGUUGAUGAAAAUUUAUUAGGGGAAAUGACGGAGCCAAAGCCAUCCACACCUUUGCUAAGCACAAAAGCACCAUCCUCGAGAAGCCUUCCUGAUUUUAAGAAGUCUGUCAAACUGAAAUAUGUGAAACUUGGCUAUCACUACCUUAUCACCCAUGGAAUGUACCUCUUCCUUUCUCCUUUGGUAGUUGUGAUCGCGGCGCAGCUUUCGACAUUUUCCCUUCAAGAUCUUUAUGAAGUUUGGGGUCAUCUUCAAUAUAAUUUAGUUUCUGUAAUUCUUUGUUCUACCCUCCUUGUUUUCUUGUCUACCUUGUACUUUCUUACCCGUCCUCGCCCUGUUUACCUUGUUAACUUUUCGUGCUACAAGCCUGAUGAAUCUCGUAAAUGCACGAAGAAGAUUUUUAUGGAUCAAUCUCAUAUGACGGGGACAUUUACGGAGGAGAAUCUUCAAUUCCAAAGGAAAAUCCUUGAGAGAUCUGGCCUUGGGGAUUCAACCUAUCUUCCUGAGGCUGUUCUCAAUAUUCCUCCAAACCCCUGCAUGGCAGAAGCUAGAAAAGAAGCUGAAAUGGUGAUGUUUGGUGCCAUUGAUGAGCUUUUAGCCAAGACAAGUGUGAAACCAAAAGAUAUCGGUAUCUUGAUUGUGAAUUGUAGCUUGUUCAAUCCAACACCGUCGCUUUCUGCUAUGGUCAUCAACCACUACAAGCUGAGAGGAAACAUUAUUAGUUACAAUCUUGGUGGAAUGGGUUGCAGUGCAGGUCUUAUUUCUAUUGAUCUUGCCAAACAGCUGCUUCAGGUCCAUCCCAAUUCCUAUGCCUUGGUUAUUAGCAUGGAGAACAUAACAUUGAACUGGUACUUUGGGAACGACCGAUCAAAGCUUGUCUCUAAUUGCUUGUUUCGGAUGGGUGGAGCAGCAAUAUUGCUUUCAAACAGAAGAUCUGAGAGAAGGAGGUCCAAAUAUCAAUUAAUACAUACUGUUCGUACCCACAAGGGAGCAGAUGAUAAGUGCUUUAGCUGUGUUACUCAGGAAGAGGAUUCAACUGGGAACAUUGGUGUCACUUUAUCGAAAGACUUAAUGGCAGUUGCAGGUGAUGCAUUGAAGACUAACAUCACAACGUUGGGCCCUCUUGUGCUGCCAAUGUCUGAACAGCUUCUCUUCUUCGGUACUUUAGUUGGUAAGAAACUCUUCAAAAUGAAGAUCAAGCCUUACAUCCCUGACUUCAAACUAGCAUUUGAACAUUUCUGCAUCCAUGCUGGGGGAAGAGCAGUUUUAGACGAAUUGGAGAAGAACUUGCAGCUGUCUGAUUGGCAUAUGGAGCCGUCAAGGAUGACACUCUACCGAUUUGGCAAUACAUCGAGCAGUUCUCUUUGGUAUGAAUUGGCAUAUACAGAAGGGAAAGGUAGAAUGAAGAAAGGAGAUAGAACAUGGCAAAUAGCAUUUGGUUCAGGAUUUAAGUGCAAUAGUGCAGUCUGGAGAGCUUUAAGGACCAUAAAUCCAGCUAAAGAAAAGAACCCAUGGAUGAAUGAGAUCAACCAGUUUCCAGUUGAUGUUCCUAAAAUUUCAACCAUUUGAAAACUUAUUAUUAACUCUUUUAGUUUUUCAUUCAUUUUAGUCUCCUCUCUAAUUUGGGGUGCCAAGAUCGUCCAUUGAUUUUCCUGUGCUGAUAUUAAAGAAUUGACAUUUUUCUCUUCUUUUAGGCCAGAAUUAUAGAGAGGUAGAUUGCUUUUGUUGAGAGCAGAACAUUGCAUCUUUGUAGAUGCUUUGGGAAAGCUUCAUGUCUUGAUUUGUAUUGUGGGGAUUGGAAUUUGGAACUGUUCAAUUCAGCAGACAUUUUGGAUGGAUCAUUCAAUUCUACUGCUUAAAACUCUAUGCUUGCUUUGUUGAUUCUAGGGAUUGAAGCAUCAAAACCCAAUCCCAACUGGAUUUGAAAUUGUUACAAACUAUGACAAUGAUUAUUCAAAUAUCUGUUAUGAUACAGCUUAUGAAAUUCAAGAAUUGAGCUUUGUGUUUAGUUUCGGUUUAGGUUUCAGUUUCGAUCGAAGACCCUCCACCCACAUUCUGUCCUGUUUUGCUUCUUAGCAGGCAAAAAUGAGACUAGGAUGACAGUGCUAUUCCAACCAUUGAAGAUCAAGCUCAAAAGAUCAAGCUCUUUCCCACAAGAAACCUUAACCAGCAAGUUUUAAACACAUGACUUAUUCAUCUUAUGCUGUACACUUCCAUCUUUCCUUUUUAUUAUUAUUGCUUAAAGUUGAGAAUCUGGAAUGAGAAUUAUGCUCCAUAUAUUCCUUUUCAUGUGUAUAUAUGUUUGUGGGAAUGUAUCUCUUUUUGUAUGAAGAAUUUAUUUCUGGAGAUUCAAGCCAAAUCAUGAUUAAGUUUAUGAUAUUGGUGAAUGAGGCAUAUCUAAUUAGCACACAAAAAAAGGAAUUAAUGUUAGCUUUUUUUAAACUUGUGGGUCAAAUUUUUUCCACUAAAAUAAGUUUAAAUUUUGUGACGGGGCCCACUUUAAUUUUAAAUCAUCCUUGUGGACAUGUGAAUGAGCGAUACAUGCUGCCAAAAAAGUAAAAAAAAUAAGAAAGCCAGCACCAAACAGGAAGGAUUCAUCUGUCCAAAUCAUGAGAUAUAUGGUCAAACUUUUUUUAUAUAGACAAGAGAAGAGCAAUUAUUUAUAUAUAUCAGUUAACUGAAAAAACAGAGCACGGUCUCCUUAAGACUAAAGUGCCAAUAAUGACUUAUAUUUUACGGAUAUUUUAAAAAAUGAAACAAACCGAUAAACAUUUUACCGUACAUAAUAAAAAAUAAAAAAUACAAAAAGAAAAGUUUCAAACAUCUUAUUAAUUAGCCAUGCUUAUUUUGUUUUCUAAAUAUAGAAAAUGUUAUAGAUUUGCUACUUGUACCAAAAUCUUUUUAACAAUUUUUUUCAAUAUUUUUUUUUAUAUUUGAUACACGAUCUUGUGUCAAUUUGGAUUGUGUAGUAGCAAUUUUUUUUUUAAAAAUCUUUUAUAUUUCGUAUAAAAAAAUAUAAGAGAAAAAUAAAGAAAAAAGAUGAGCAAAAAGGCCAAACCAAAAACAUUUAAAAAUUAGUCCCUUUCCUAGACUUUUUAAAUUUGUUACACAUAUCACAAAUAUUAUGAUAUUUAGUAAUAUUUAUGAAAAUUAAUUCUAUUUAAUAAUAUUUAUAUCAAAUACUCCAUAUUAAAUAUGUAUUUAAUAAUAUUUAUAUCAAAUACUCCAUAUUAAAUAUGUUUUUAUUUUUUCUAUUUAAUGCGAGUGUGAAAAUAAUUGGCUAAGUACGUUAUUAACUGUACCUUUGAGAGUAAAUGUUAUAGGCUUACAAGGUGAAUUCAAUUUUAUUAUUGUAUGUUGACCAUUGUGACUAACAUGGUGCUUUUACUUUAUGAACCUAUAAUUACAAACUAGCACUCUAAAAGAUUUGCUAUUUUUUCCCUAUUUUUUUUAAAAAUCUUUAAAAAUCUCUAUAUAGACUCAUACUAAUUGAUCAAAUUAAUGGAACACCUUCUCAAAACCUCUUCCUACCAUGUUAUUGUAGUUGAUUAAGGAACUAUGUUAUUGGAAUAAACUCACAGAAAACCCUAUCUUGCUUUCGCUCUUUGUGACAAUCCAUUUUCCAAUCCCAUCAAACACAAUAACCUCCCCCACUGUGAAUCAAUCACUCAUUGCUUUGAUGUUAUGUAAACUUGCAGGAAUCAAAAUUUGUGGUCUGGUAAGAUUUGGUGUGUAAUCAGCUUGAGAUAUACCAAACACCCUCACAACAAUCAAUAAAUUAGAAGUUUUUUCAACUAAAUUUUGGUGAUCUAUCUCCCGAGAUUGAUCGAGAAAAACUAUUUGAAUGAGUUUUUAAAAAGUUUGCUAGUUUUUCAAGAUAAAAUCUUCAAAUGGACUAUUGGUUCUCAAACUGAGUAGAGUGAUCCAAUCCAUGUUUAGGUUAUCAUAAUCCUAGAAUUAGGAUUAGAACUAGAACUAUUUGUUUCUCAUUUGUCAUUAUUCUUCACUCUCCUUUUCACUAUUUCUCACAAUCCCACCUCUCUCCUAUGUCACUAUUACUCACUCCUUCCUUUCACUAUUUCAAUUUUUUCAAACAUAGAUGAUAAUAAUCUAAAUUAAUAAUAAUCUACACUCAAACACAGAUUAUUAUAAUAAUCUACUCCACACCCCAAACGCCCCCAACAUGUUAUUUUUAACAAUUUUUCAUCUAUAAUCAAUAUUUUGCAUAAUAAAAAUGAUUUUCCAAUAGUAGCAAGUUUUUGUAAUCUCAUACAGGUUAGAAACUAAAUUAUUUCUAAGUAAUAUUUUCAAAAGGUUAAAUUAUAUAUUUGGUUCAUAAACCUUCAUCUGUCUGAUAGUUUUAUUGAUUCUUGAACUUUAACACGUAUUAAAUUUUUCAUUGUGUGUCAAAAAAAUAUAGAGCUUUAAGAAUAUAUAGUAAGUCGUCAACUUUGAUUAUUGUAUCUCCUUAAAUUUCAAAAGAUAUAUAAUUUAACUCUAAACUUGUCGCGACUGAAAUAUAUAUGCAACAUACUUUCUUUUUGUUUUGCAUUCUCUUUCAUAUAUAGUGUAUACUUUAUUAAUUUCUGAUUGAUUGAUAAUCGUUAUAUUACCUCCAUUUUUCAUAAGAUAUCUUAUAAAUGAAAAUCUUAAAAUUAGUUGUAAAUAAAUAUAUUAAAUAAUUAAUAGACUAAAUAUGUAAGUUUUAAUAUAAAUAAUAAAUGUGAAAUAAAAUAUUUAUGGCAAUAUAUUAUAAAUAUUUAUGGCAAUAUAUUAUAUAUAUUUUGAUCUUUCCACUUUCCAUGUUUUCUUUCUUUUUUCUCUAAUAUUUUCUUUUUUCUCUAAUAUUAAUAUUAAAUGUGGAUAAUUUUGUCAUUUGGGCUCAAUAUUUGUUAAAUUUGUAGCUCAUUAGGACUUUUACAAAAGUUAUGGUAAUAUUGUGUCCAAAAUAUAAAUAAAGAUCAAUAUUUAAAUUAUUCUAGUUAAAAGUCUUUACUCGAUUGAUUGGUUGCCUAAGAACCCUAGGUUCUAGCCAUAGAUGUCCAUUAAACCCGCAGGAACAUGUCUCGAACCGAACGGGAAAUCUCCGAAUACAUGGAGAAUGAGGGAGGGAGUGGGAAACUUUUUUCUUUUUUUCAUUUUGGCCACAUUGGGUCGGGGAUGGGAAAUACAUUCCCCGACCCCAACCUUGACCCCGCCCCAAUCUUUUGUCCUGUCCUAAACAAAAAUAUAGUUAAAUGUACAUGUGUAUAUGUAUACAUAAAUUAAAUAUAAAUAUAAAUAUUUAUUUAUUAACUUAUUUAAUAAUACAUAAAAUAGUAAAAAAAAACAUAUUUUGAUAUUGUUCCUUUCUUUUUUUUCUUUAUUCCGUUUCUCUAUUUUCCCCUAAUUCUAUUUCUAUGUUGUGAACUUUUCUUUAAUUAUCUACGUAUAUAUUGUAACUUCACUUGUGAUUUGUAAACUUUUGUUAAAGUUGUUGUGUUUAAAAAAUAGGUAAUCGAGGGCUUUGUUAAAAUACUUACGGAUUGAUCUUUGAUUCUUUUUUUAUGAAUUGUUUAAUUUUAUGGAUUGAUUUCUAAAUGUAUCUUUUAUAUAAUUGAAUUUUUAUUUUUAUAAACAAUUGAAAUUUGACCUUUUAAUUGUUUUAAAUAAGAAUAUGGAUAAUAUUCAAUUGAAAAUAAAACAACAUUGGAAAUGUAUAUACAUUUCAAGUAGAUGAUGCUUAGAAAAUGACACUACAAAAAAUUUUAGUUAUGAUAGCUUAAAAAAUAUGUUAUCGUUGACUUGCAAUAGCGUUUUCAAAAUGCUAUCGUAGCCCAUGUUAUUGAAAGUUCAUAACUUUUUCAUAUUGUUUUUUCAAUGCUAUAAAAAGCGCUACAAAUUUUUUUGUUGUGAUAGCACAUAUUUGUUGUUAUAAACUUUUCAUUCCGUGAAAAAAACGCUAUUAAAAUGUUUGGAUAGCAUUUUCUAUUGCGAUGAAAAAUCACUAUCAAAACGUUUCAAUAGCAAUUUUAAUUAUACUGAGAAAACGAUAUAAAAUUGUUUUUGUACAUGUUGUCCUAAUCAGUGUUUUUGAAAGUAUUCGACUUUCAAUAGCGUUUUUGUAGAGCUAUUAAUAGCAUCAUAGAAAGUUGAUAUAUGAUAACUUUAAUUCAAUAUUAUAGAAAUAUUCCAUUAUAUUUUUUAAAAAAAAAGUAUUAUAAAAAGUUUUUAUAGCAAUAAAAGAACGUUCUAUAGCGAUUUUAGAUACGUUAUCGAAAGUCUCUUAUUUUUGUUAGCAUUAUUCAUUUUAAACGGGAUGGAUUUUAGUGUUAAUGGACUUUUUUAUUUUACAAUUUGUUUUGCAAAUAAUAUUUUAAAAUCAAAUUAUAACCAUAUAAAUAUGUAUAAAAGUCAUUUGCCUAGGCAAAGAAAGAUAUAAUUAACAUUUCAACAAAAUCUACCGUAAUAAUUAUAAUAAAAAUGUUAAAAUUUCUAACAUACAAAAAAAAAUUAGCCUUGUAUUCGUUCAAAAUGUUUGAUAUAAUCAUCAAAAUUAAGUAUGUUCCAACAAAACUUUCAUACAAUUCGUUUCCUUCAUCAUCAUGGGUUCAGUCGAAGUUCGAUUCUCUAGCUUUGGAUUUUUAUUUAGAGACAUUUCAACUAUAUCCAUGAUUUCAGGAUUCCAAAAUCAUUGCGUCAGGUCAGGAUUCAGAACAAGCAAGAGACAAUCCGAUCCACGGAUGGCUGGACUAAUAUCCUAAACAACAAAAAAACACUAUAAUAUUUCACCUAAAAGAAACAACAGAAAACAAGCACCUUUUAGCAAAACUCACAAGAAUUAUUUAUUCACUUUUUCUUUCUAAGUUGACUAAGUAGUAAAACAAUAUCCAACCAAUUUACCUAUAAACAAAGAAAACAAAAAUGGGUGAUAGGGAUAGAGAUUCAGGAAGUAUUUCUACCUAAACAAGCAUCCACAUUUAGCUAGAUAUUUCCUUAUAAAAAGCUUGUCCUGCAACCACAACAAAACAUGCCAAGAAUAAGCUAGAAUGGAAAUUAUUUAAUACCCUUAAAAGUUCCCCCAAGUUGUAUUUUUUUCUAAUGUCAAACAACUUUUUUAUUGGGGGAGGUGCAAAAUGUAAAUAAGAAGUAGGUACUCACGUAAGAGACUUGUUCACAUGCAAAAACCAGAAUAACUACAAUAUCCAAAGUUGAAUGGGGUUGGAAUUGGAUGACCUAAAUUGAUUCUUUUUUUUUGUCAAUUAUUGAGAAAAGGUAUGUUCAAAUAAUCCCCAUUAUAUACACCAUUCUUACUUUCUUUCCUAGUAAUGGUCUCAAGAACCAACUCGGCUUGAAUCCCUUCACAUUGAAGCAAAAUUAUAAAAAAUCCAAGUCCAAUAUAAUCAAAAUUACAAAGAAGAGGUUAGAUUGUCCAAGAUCCAAAGCAUUAUGAACCGUUGGUGCAAAAAUAUUGAUAAAUACAGUAACAUGAAGUCUCAUUUUGAUAUCUAAAUCUUUAAGAAGUAACCAUUUUUACCCUUAUCUUCCUCAUAUUCUGCCAUGCACCCAAUAACAUAUGUGACUUUAUAGCAUGUUACACCCAUUUGUUACAAACAAAAAUAUCAAAAAUGGACCAAACUGAUUAAUUUUAAAAGUUGGGAUUAAAGGAAAAGCAAUAUUUAAAUCAAUUACACCUCUUGUACUUACUAAUCAUCUAAGUUUACCAAAGAAUUAAAUUUUUUGCGUUGAUUUAAUAUGAAAUGUUUGAGCAACAGUGCAGUUACAUAGAGCACAAGAUGUACAACAAGAAUUACUCUAGUUUAGAAUCAGUAGGCAUUGGAAGGAAGGCAAGAGACAACAAAUCCACAUACCGGAGUUAAGAAGAAUCUGGAAGACCUCCGGUGGCCAGCCUCAAGAGCAAUCCGGAAGACAUCAUCACGAUACUGUCUUUAUAAGUUUCAGUUCGGGUAUAUUAACAACAAAACCAUUAGAUUCUUGAAGGAAUAGUCGACAGUCUGUAGGACAUAAUUUAUGGAAAUUUAUAUCUUAGAUUACCAAAUAUGAAUUGAGGAGAAAAGGGAAUGACAAUUACAAACUUGACCACUAAGUUCAGGGGACCCUUCAUAAUUUAUGCACAUUUGGAACAAUGUAGUUCAACUUGCCUUAUUAAAUCCAACAUCAUUUCUGUCUCUGGAAUCUGGAUUUUGAGUUCUAAGAUCUAUUUAACAUUAAACCAAGUAUUUUGAUAAAUACAAUUUGCUGAUAUAUAUGAAUACAUAUGAUAUACCCAUCAAAAUCUAGAGCAUAUAAAUUUAUGUAGGAAACUAAAUAGGUGGUCAAAUCACCUUACACUUCAACUUGUAUAGAACCUCAAGCUUAAGAGCAGCAGGCUGUUUAUCCAAAAUUUCUCUGACACUUUCUAUGCAAGACUAAUAUAUCACAAGUGAAGAAUAUUAGAACAUAAAUAAGUGGAGGCAAAAGCAGAAUCCAAAAAAUAAAGUUCAUCUUAAUAAUACUUUUUUUGUUUGAAAAUGAGACUAUCUAUUUAUUACUUUUUUUUUAAUAAUACUCAAAAGCAAGUUGCAAGUACCUUACCAUUUCUUUUUUAAGAAACUGAGCUUCCAAUGAGCAAAAUGAAGGAAUAUACAAGAAAUUACAAAGUUCUGGGCAUAUGAACCAAGUUGAAGGCGAAGUGAGUUAUUUUUCAUAGAUAUAAUGAAAAAUAAAUUAUUGAUUGAGAUACAAGUUCAAAAUGCAAUGAUACAAAAUGAACAUAUAAAUCUAGAAAUCUAUAAAGUUUAGAAUAUAUACAGCCACAUUUUGCAGAUGAUUAUCUUAAUAGGCAUUAAGCAUGAUAAAUUUAGGGUUCCUUUCAUAUAUAAAAGAUAUGACAUAUAAUAAAAUGUUGGAGGGAGUCAGACUAUUUGAGUGAAACAAACUGAAUGUGAAACUAGUGAAAAAGCUUAUGCCAAUGUUUACUUGAAGGGCCACUUUCAUAUAUAGGUGUAGGCAGUGUUUUAAAAAGCGCCCUAAGGCGCGCCUAGGCGCAAGUCGAAUUAGGCGUGAGCUUUUUUUUAUAAGUUAUGGGCUGGGCUUUAAUUAUAAAAAACUAUUAUUAUCUAGGUUUUUUAAACCUAUUACGUAAACGUGAAGAAAGAACCCUUCUCCUUUCGCGCGUGAAGUUUCUUCAACACGACUCUUCAUCUACUUCUUCAGUUCUUCGUCUUCCGUUCUGCUUCUACUUCAAAAACUUUUUGCUUCCUUUUCCACCCUUCCGUUCCGGCCACCCUUCUUCUUCACACAAAACGGGUGUGCUGCGGCUGCCAUUACUUUGUUUUUUGGUGCAAAAACAGAGGAAAAGAGAAGACAAUAAUAUUCUGUGCUACAGUGCUAGUGCUUCAGUUUUCGCCUCGUCCAUCUCAGCUUUAUCACGGGUGAGUAUCUCAAUCGUUCAGUUAACAACUUUAUCACUGACAAUGAAACUUUCUAAUUUUUCAGCUUCAUAGCAAGAAACGAAAUAGGCUUGCUCAAAGUCGUUUGAAUGAUCUAUUGUUCAUCAAAUACAACAGAGCACUAAAACGUCGAUACAACCUACAAGAUAUUGUAGACCACAUCUCCUUGAAAGAUAUUGAUGAUAGUAAUGAAUGGUUGAUUGGAAGAUUGGAUGACGAUUCUGAGGAGGAUGAUGAGUUGGUAUUUAACGAUGAUGAUUCUUUAACGUGGGGUGAUGUUUCUAGAGAUGUCGGAGCAAAAGAACCAUCAUUCUAUUCUAGAGCUAGUACCUCUAGACCAAAGACUAUUGUUUCAUGUUCAUCCUCGUCUACCACGCAACGGAAACAAGUAAAUUUAGAUGACUUCGAUUUGGAAGAAGAAGAUACUGAUGGCUAUAAGUCUAACAAAGGAUUGAAUGAAAACGAGGAUCAAUUUAGUGAUGAUGAGUUUGAUCUUUAGGGAUGAACUUUUAUUUUGAUUAUUGACUUGUUGAAUACUGGGUAGUUUUUUGUUGUGUUUUGUUGUUUAGGCUACUUAUAUUGGGUACCUAUAUUUUAUACAUUGUUGCUCUGCUAUAUGUGUGUAUAUAUAUAUUUUCUUCUCUUUUUAUAUAUAGUGCGCCUUAUGAAAAAAAGCUCACGCUUUUUUUUGCGCCUUGCGCCUAGGCUCCAUAGGACCAAUGCGCCUUAGUGCGCCUUGAGCCUUUAAAAACACUGGGUGUAGGACAAUAUCCUCAAAGAGUAUUGCAAGAACGCUUAAUGUGGUUUUAAAUUCAAUAGUUGGUGAUCAUCAUCUUUAUUUUCUUUUAUUUUAGUUUGGUUUUGAGUGAGGUUUUUCUAGCCAUGAAUUGAAGUAAACACAGCUGGAAUGCAACAAGAGAAACAGAGAAAAGUUGUUCUACAUAAAGACCAGCUUAAAUAGAAAUAACCAGUCAAGUAGAUUCUUAUACCAGAAGACCAAAAGCCAUUGAUUGUAACUUUGAUAUGAAAAUUAGCAUAUUUACUUUGUCGAGAACAAAUUUAUAUCGAUUGAAAUACUCUCUACGAUUUUCCAUAAUCCAACAAGCAACUUGACUUGCACCAGCCAGAAAAUGCCCAAUAUAGCCAUCUGAAUAAAUGAUAGAAUUAAGCACAUCAAAAAGUGUUGGGGUUAAAAAUCAACAUUUGAAGAAAUCUUUUCUCUUUCUACCAAUCUUCAAAGGAAGUUUGACAAGCUUUUCAUGCCAUGAGACAAAAGAAGCAAGAAAAUGAAAUUAUACACACACACACACAAAGGUAGAAAUAGAUUAGUAACAAAAUAAUUUGAGACUAGCAGAUAGGGCCUCCAACAAAAACCAUGAUCAUCGGGCAUUCUUAUCAUUAAAGAGCAGAUACUAUACAUUGAUUGCCUUGGACAAAGCAAUCUUUUCAUUGUUCCUUAAAAACAACCAUACAUACAAGUGUCUCCAAUCAACUUUGAUUGUUCCUUAAAAACAUUUACUUCAAUGGAGUACUCUGUUACUUACACUUGGUUUCAAUUCAGAAAUUGUUGGAUUAUAACUCAAAAAGAUACUUUAUAACUCACAUCAAAGAAUAUAAUCCUAUCGAUUAUAAUCUAUAUGCGCUCAACUGGUACACUGAAUGAGAGUGCCUAACAGUUAAAAAGUUUGAAGGAAUGAAGUAAAGAAAGAAAUCAGUGAAACUGUCUAAUUACGAUCUCGAUCUAGGAAUAAAAUCCAGAAAAAGAAGCCAUUCAGCCUGUAAAACCAAAUAACUUCCAUAUUUCAACAAAAACAUUGUCAACUUUAAUACAUUAAUCAAAAUUCAUACUCAUAUAGAAAUUAUCAAUUGUCAGUCGGUCAGAGUAUAUGCAUAACAUUCCAUACCAAGCUGAUAAUUAUUUACCACAAAGAAUCAAUAGAACAAGAACAAAUAUAUAUUGAUUAUAGACAACUGAGGUUAGAAUAUAACUGUAUACACAUUUGGUCAAUGAGAAAACAGAACACGGGUAAAGUAGUUGAGAGUGUUGCACAAGUGUUGAAGGAAGGAAACAGAAAAAUCAACUUGAAUGGCUUCAACUUGUUGUCUAAAUUAUAUAUAUAUAUAUAUAAUCAAUUUCAUGCACUCUUUCCUCCUUAACUCUUCUUCAUGUGAAACCUUAGCUCUCUCUCUUAUCCUUUUAGUUUCCUGAAAUGUGGUUUUAAUUUAUAUAUAUAUAUAGACACACACUCACACAUGUUGGGAGCGGAAAAAAGGUAAUAAAAAUCCCUAUUCCUUCCUCACUUCUUUCAACUUUGAGAACCAUGUCUUUUAUUUCAGGUCAGAUCCACGUCUGUAAAAAGAUUUUCAUAUUUUGAUAAGCCAUUGUGAAAGCAAAUUAAGAGAAAGUUUUACAUUCACAUCCUAUCCAACAAUUAAUAGAUCUGAAAAAUAUAAUAAAAAGGAAGAAAAGUAAAAGGAAGAGAAAAGGAAGAAAAGAAGGGUAAGGUCAGAAGAAAAAAGGCUUAAAGAAGGUUACCCGUUUGGUGCAGCAAGUCGAUGACUAGUUCGGCGAGCAAAGAGUCAUUCUUUCUUAAAAGAACUAGAUGUCCAUAUCCGAGAACUAAGGAAAAUUUUGGAUAUUUCAUGUUUAAGGAAUUAAUCGAGUAUAAAAUAUGAUUUUUUCAGGACAAUGAGGAUUAGGAAGAAUUUCACGACCAAGGCUAUAUUCAAGUGACAGUGAGUAACACAUUGAUUUCAAAGUGAUUUAAUAAACAUGUUUUCAGGCUUUCAAAGCAAUAGCUCGUAAAAUGAUUUGCUAAACAUGAUCUCAAGUUCUUAUACAAGCUAUAUUAUUAUUGAUAAAUGUUUACUGAGUUGAUAUUUCCAAGCUACGUUAUGAUUUCAUAAGUUCAAGGAAAUGUUUCAAAAACUUUCAAGGAAAUAUUUCAUGUCUUCAAAUGUUUUUAUCCAUGCUCGAAUAAGACUUAUUGUAUACAUGUGGUUAACUCCGUACUGAUGGUAGGGUUGACGAGCCUAUAGUUUAUGGGUCCUUAGGAAGCACUACAAGAAAUUAGAAUAAUUCUGACGCCAAAAACAACGUUGGCGAAAGAUGCAUCGGUGUUGACCACCUUUCGGCAAUGCAACAUUGGUUGCGUUGGCAAAAAGAUAUUCUGCGACGCACAAAAACAAGACGUCGUGGAAAGUUUAAAAUUAAAUUUAAUAUAUUCACUUUUCACAACGUACAAGAACUAGAUAUCGCGCAAAGAUUAAAAAUUAAAUUUAAUAUCUUAACUUUUCGCGACGCACAAGAAUAAGACAUCGUGGAAAAUUUAAAACUAAAAUUAAUAUCUUCACUUUCUGCGACGCACAAAAAUCAGACGUCGCGAAAAAAUUAAAAAUUAAAUUUAAUAUCUUCACUUUCUGCAACGCACAAGAAUCAGAUGUCGCGGAAAGUUUAAAAUUAAACUUAAUAUAUUCACUUUCUGCGACGCACAAAAACCAGACAUUGCGGGAGGAUUAAAAAUUAAAUUUAAUAUAUUUACUUUCCGCGACAUACAAGAACCAGACGUCGUAGAAAGAUUAAAAAUUAAAUUUAAUAUCUUAGCUUUUCGCGACGCACAAGAAUAAGACGUCGCGGAAAGUUUAAAUUUAAAUUUAAUAUCUUCACUUUCCGUGACGCACAAGAACCAGAUGUCGCUGAAAGUUUAACAUUAAAUUUAAUAUCUUGACUUUCUGCGACGCACAAGAACCAGAAGUCGCGAAAAGUUUAAAAUUAAAUUUAAAAUCUUCACUUUUCGCGACGCAUAAAAAUCAGACAUCAAGAAAAGUGGAUGUUGUAAGUGUACGUAUUGAAAUGACAUGGUCACCUUUCCGCGACGUGUGGUAGGUGCACGUCGGGAAAUAUUUAAAUAAGGAAUUGAUUAUUUAAUUUUUCCAUGAUGUUGAGGUUGCCCAAUGUCGAGAAAAGGGUCCUUCCCCAACGUUUUCGAAGACGUCAGCAAAAUUUCACUUUAUUUCUUCCCUCUUCAACACAGAAUUGAUUGCAAAACAAAAGGAAGAAAAAAUUGACCGAGAGAGAGGGAGAGGAGGAGAUUUGUGCUGUCGUCCGUCCGUCUUCGCUAUCGUCGUUGCCGCCGCCGGAAGUAUCCUUGUCCCCCUCUUUCUCCUCUGUCACUAUUCCCCACUCUCCAUCUCUUCUUCCCACUACUUUCUCCAUGUUUUCCUUCUCCGAAUCGCUCAUCUUCCUCUCUCAUUCCUUGUACUUUCUCUCUUUUCCUUCUCUGAAUCGCUCAUCUCUCCCCCUUCUUCUGUCCAAUUUCAUUCUCCAAAAACGAUUAAUCGCUUGGAAAUAGACUAAUUUAUCAGCAACAUCAACCAUAUCUGACAGGGACAUAAAUAAAUGGAAGAAUUUAGUGGGUUUCUUUUCAUAUAUAAAUAAAUAAUUAAUUACAAAAUAUAUUAAAAGUCUUUCACGAGGCACACAUUGCAAAAGCCUUAUGUGACGCACACGUCGCGGAAGCCGUCUGUGACUUGCUGCAGCGUGUGUGGGGAAAUUUUUUUCGUUGCUAACACAAGCUACGUCAGGAAACGUAUCCCCGAAGUGUCUAUCGACGUCAUCUACGACGUCGCAGUAACCUUCCCCAACGUUGGUUAGAGUUUUCGACGACAUAUUGCUAUGCCGAGGAAAAUCAUAUUUCUUGUAGUGAAUGGUAUAUUUCCACGCCUUAAAGGAGGAGGGUUACCUACUUAUAUAUAUAUUUAAGCUUCAGUUCUACACUAAAAUGUUUAUCAAAACUUGUUUUAUAAAAUCGUUGCUCACUAUGUCUUUCGACUUACCCUUUCAAAAAUGUUUUCCCUCUUUUCAGGUACAGAUUGUGGAUCUCUGCGUGCUGAACAUACUACUAGCAGACCAACUCUGUCUCGUCUCAUGAAAGAAUUCGUUUUACUCUAAAGCAUUAUUUUGUUUAUUCAAGAGUGUAAACUUUUAUGAUUAAUAUAUUUUUCACUUGGUAUAUCAGAAAAGAAAAUUCAAAUGGGUCACACUAUGAUUAAAGUAUUUCAAGUUAAAAAACUUUUAUUGUUAAUUGUUUUGUUUUUCCAUGUCAUGUGUUAGUUAGUUGAGGUUGUUUCAGAGGCGAACGGCUUCGGCUGACAUCACACCACGUCUUGGGCCUAGCAAGCAGGUAUCUGUGAUAGGGUGUGACACCUACAACUUUGGACGUUAUUGUUGUGGGGUGAACAUUUUGAUCGAUGGCAACCAAUUGUUAUAAUCUUUAAUUAUUGAUGUCAUGCUUAUUAACAAACGAUCGUAGUGAUGGUCAAUGAUCAAUAGUCAUGACCCUUGACGACUAAUUGUCAUAAUGGUCAACAACCAAUCAUUGUCUUAAAAUUAGCGAUCGUUGGCCGUCUUCACUAUUGAUCAAAGAUCGUCUUCACCAAAGCUUCAUACACUAUUUCCCAUGGGAUUGAAUAUUAAACACUAUUUAAGCUCAUGGAUUACUUUUUUUGUCUAAUUCAAUCUACAAAAUUCAUCGACCAACUCCAAACACCACACCUAGUGACUAUUGUUGGUCAACCACUAGGUGUCAUUUCUGACAACUCUACCAAUGAACUUCCGACCAUACCAACUUUUGCAACAACUGCGAACCUUGAAAAUUAAUAAAAAUGAAUUUUUUAAAAACUUUUUUUUAGUCAUUCCAAAUACGCAUUGAAUUUAAUCACAAUAAUAUUUUUUAAAAUAUUGCAUUUUUUCAUUCUUCUAUUUUCUUUUCUUCUAAAGUUUUUUAAUAACUAUUAUUAUUACAUCAUCUUUUUUUUCCUUCUAUAUUUAAAAUUAAUCUUUCCUUCAUUUUAAGAGAUUUUGUUUAUUUUGUUAUAUUUUUCCAAGGUGAAAAUUGAUGACCUAUCUAUUGUGAUCUCGAAUAUAAAUCAAAUAUAUAUUGGUAAUAUAGUGAAGAGUGUAAAUAUAUAUCACAUGUAUAUAUCAUAGUUUAUUUUUUAGUUUAAUAAUAUUUUUCAUUUUUUCCAUUAGUCAAUUUAACUAGAAGACUUAGGACUUAUUUGGAUUGACAUAAGAAAAAGUGUUUUUAAAAAAAAAAAACAAAACUCACUUUUAUUUAGACUCUUUUGAUAAGAGUGGUUUAAAAUACAUGCAACUCUACUUGACUUUCGUUUUUGCAUGACCCUUUUGGUUGAUGCUUAUUUUGAAACUUAUUAGACAUUUUUUAAUGUUGCUUAACUAUAACUUUCAUAAAUUUCAUAGGAUUACAUCAUUUGUUAUAUUUUGUUAAUAGUUUGUAAUAUUCAUAAUUAUACAAUUCAUGUUAAUCCAACUAUAAUCAAAAUUAUUGUUAUCAAAUAUUAAAACUUCUCACUUUUACAUUAUUUUUAUUAAAAUAAAUAUAGUCGAGAAAUUGAAUUAGAGAUACAAAAUGUGAAAAAAGAAUCAAUUAAAAAUUUGAUACAAAAUAAAUUUAGGAUGUACAAUUAAUAUAAAAAAAACUAAACAAAUUAACUAAAUCAAGGAAUUGAAAACCAACACCCCAAACACAAGCAUAAAAAACUCAGAAUUCAAAUCUUGCACCCGAAGCACAGACAUUUGUAAUUCACAGGCAUCCAAUAAGCUGACAGACAUUUAAUUUCCAGACAUUUUAUUCCAAACCUACACACCAAAUACCCCUUAGGGUUCUUUAGAGACAUUUGAGAGAAAAUGGAGGAAUGGUUUGAGAGCACUCUUCAUUUGAAACUGGCUUAUCUAUAGAGUUCUUUGCAUAGCUAGCUUUUCCACCUUACUUGCAAGAAUUCCAAUCUUUUUAUAUUGUGGACACUUGUUUUCCACCCCACCGACUGUCCUGCAUGCCUAAGGGUCUAUUUCCAUGGUCACCUAGCUUCCUUACUCACCUCACAAAGCCUCUCAACAAAAUCUUGUUGCAUGCCCUUGAUCCGCUUGCCACCUAGUUAACCUCUUUAGGUUGUCGUGCUCUUAACUGCAUGAAUCAUCAUGCAUAGCUCCUCCCUUGGCUUGUCAUACACAUGGAGGUUCUUAACUUGUAUAGCUCUUCUUGGCUUGUCUCAACACUUAGCAUGCUUUGCUCUUGAUGCCUAAACACUUUGGUUGCCUAGGAUAUGUUCUUGGAGGUUCACAAGACACCUUUGGCUGCCUAGCAUCAACCAAAAUGCCUAGUCACCAACACCUUAGCCAAAAUUCAUUUAUUUUUCUUUCUUUUCUUCACUUGGCCGCCAACCUCUCAAUGACUUAGCACUUAGUCAAAACUUCCUUCAAACUCUUCUUUAACCUCAGCAACACAUCAACAACAAGAACUUUUACUAAACUUGCUUUCUCUUAACUAAUGGAGAUUUUAGAGGAAGAAUGAGUCGGAGGUUUACAAAAGGCAAUAUAUUUUCUUUCAAAAAAAAAAAUAGAUUGGAUUAGAUCAACAAGUUUGUUGAAAGAUAUGUGUUGAAAGAGACAAACUUCAAUGAAAUUGGUAAUGGUUAUUUUCAUCCCAUUGAACAAUACUCCAAACGUUUAACAUUCAUAACAACAGAUUGUUCAGUAUAGGGGAUGAAGAAAGUUGGACUAUAAGUAGUAUAAUACUAUUUUAUGUUUGAAACAAAAGGAUAAUAGUAAGUAUAAUGUUAAUAAUGAUUUAAAACUUGGGAAUCUUGUUGAAAAAUAUUCGAAAAUUCAAAUCUAUUACUAAAACUGGUUUUAAUAUUCAACAUAAGUAUAAAUGUCGAGAUUUAUGACAAAAGUUUUUGAUGGAAAAAUCAUCUAAGUUAAGGUUGCAAUUCUGCUGAGAUAUAUAUUUGACCAAUUAGUUAGACUCCAUGAAUUUUGUUAAUAUAUAUAACUUAAUGUAUGGUCUAGAAAACAAAAUGUAUUGUGGUAUUUUAAACCUAAAAAAAAAAUCUGAUAUAUUGUAAUUAAUGUAUUGUGGUAUUUUAAACCUAAAAACAACUUUUAAAAAUUGCAUUAAUGUGUAAGAUUUGAAAAUUCAAAACUAACUACUAAAAUUGAUUUAAAUAUUCAAAACAAGUAGUAAAUGUCUAGAUAUCUGGAAAAUGUGGUUGAGAUUGGAAAUAACAUCUUAUUAGAAGUCAAAAUCCCACUAGAUUACAUAUUCAAGCACUUAACUACCUUCUCAUAAAUAAAAAUGUUGGAUAAUGAGACUGCAUGGACAAUGAGAGCAUUUCAGUAUUUCAGAAAAUAUGCAUUUGUAGAGUCUAAGGAUUUCGUCUUUUGAUGCUCUGAUCUUGCCUCCUCUCUUCCGUUUUCUUUUUUAUUUCUGUCCUCCUAUUGUAAUAUUUGUCUUUCUUGUCGCUCGCCCCAUCGCUUUCGUCUGUAUUUCAAGGUUGUCAAUGUCGUCUUCAUCUGAAUCCUUGUCUAACCCUUCGUCGAUUCCAACUUCCUCGAUUCCAACUUCCUCUUAUUGACGAUGACUGUACAUAUUCGAGAUUUUGUGAGAGGGAAAGAGAUGUUUAUGUCACUGAUUCCAACUUCCUCUUAUUGAGGAUGACUAUACAUAUUCGAGAUUUUGUGAGAGGGAAAGAGAAAGAAAUCCAUUGUUGGUCGAUGUUUAUGUCACUAUUCAUGCUCUUAGAAGUGUCACUGAUAGUGUUAAAUAGAUGCAAAACAGAUUCACUAAUUGUGUUUAUAAAUGCAAAACAGAUUCACUAAUUGUGUUUAUAAAUGCAAAACAGAGAUCCUUCUAAUGGAAAAUUUUACUCAAUGAAACAGUUAUUCACCAGAAAUUCAAAAACCUGAACGAGUUUUUAAAAAUUAAUUCCAAAAUUCAAACCUGAGUAGUUUUUCUAGAAUCUAACAUCCGAUUUGAUUGAGAAAAAGAAACAACUCUGUAAAAUCAUAAAAAUAUUCAACAGAAAACAAAAAACCCAUAUCUUGGAAAUUUUCGGUUUUAUUUAGACUUAGCUUUGACUACAAGAAGGUUGAAUUGCCAAACUCAAGGAGAUUGGUCCUGAAUUGUAGUCAUCACCAGCCUUUCCUUCACAUAAUUGCUCUUAACGUGGUUCUUGCUACAAUCACAAUGGUUAACAAAUCUAAAAAUCUCAAAAAUAUAAAACGUUGAAGACAAUGUCAUAACAAAAAAGCGUUCACUUGAGACAAGUUCACACCCAUAUCUGCAGAAUCGACUAAAACUGUAUACAAAAAUCAGCAAAGUCCAUAUCUCACAAAAGAUGAACUGUAUACGACCAUAUAAACCUCGAACGCUUUGCGGCAUCGAAUCAUCAAGCAAUGGAGAAACGAUUUCACUCAUUUCCUGUCUCCUCCUUCUCCUUCUCUCUGGCCUUCCCCUCGUCUGCGAUGUUGAAGCCCUCGAUCUUGCGUGAGACCUCAUCGGCACUUACCUUCACUUUACCAAUAGAUCCAUUGACCAAGGCGGAUUCAUCCGAAUCAUCAUGAGUUAAAGGACCAGUCUGCCAUAUCCUAAUGGUUCCAUCCUCAGAUCCAGAGGCAUAGGAUUCCCCACCGGGCGCAAAGCGCAAGCAAUGUACAGGUCCAUGAUGACCCUUAUUACAUGCUGCAUCGAUAUUUAAAAAUGAAGGCAUUCUUCAACUCACGGGAAAAAUUGAAUCUUUUUGGCAAAUAAAAAGGAAAAAGAAUGAUACGGAUUCAUACCAAUCUCAUCACCAGUAUGAAAAUCAAAUACAUGGAUCCACAUAUCCUCUCCACCGGCAAUGAACUUCAUCCCAUACUUUGGUUCCAAGGAAGCAGAUUCUACAGUGCAAGGCAUGUUGUAGCUCUUGACUAAGCCAAAGCUAAAAAGAGAACAAAAAACAAAAAUAAAAUAAAAUAAAACCACAAGGAGAUUGGAUAAUGUAAUAGUAAUACUGCUUAAGCGUUACACUUACUGAUUUGCAUCCCAAAAUUUAACAGUCGACCCAUCAGCAGUUGUGAUAUAUCGUCCGUCCUGACUAACUUCUGCACUGGUCACUGAUGACUUGGUUUCAAGAGUUUGAACUAUUUGGCCACUUCUCACAUCCCAUAACCUGUAUGACAACGACUAGACUUGAGAAGGACUUGCCAAAUAUCCAAAUAAUUAAUAAUAAAAGACAUCCCAUUCAUGCACUUUGACAGGGUGGAUUAACAUCCAGUGAUUAAUACCUGACCCCUCCCAUGUCAGUGCAAGAACUUAGUAUUGUCUGAUCACUAUGAAGCCAUGUAACAGUUCUGACUGAACCAGGGGAUUUAUCCACUUCUCUUGGAGGUGCAUCGGGACGAUUCAAGUCAUAUAUUCGUAGUACUUUCUCCAGACCACCAGUCAAUAAAAGGUGUGUAUCCUAUCACAUUUUAAAAAAGGCUUUAUUGGAGAAGAGAGGUUCAUUUAAACUGUCACAUAUCAUAAUGAACGAAGAUAAAUAGCAAUAUAAUACCACAACUUGGUAUAUAACAGUCAACUCAAAUAGUGCCACAAGCAGUGUGGGAGCAAGUCAAAUAAAAAGAACUAAUGAAUCCAAUCAUGAUAGCAAAAUUAUAAAUAUACUCCUAUCACCAUUAUCAAGACAGAAAUAACUUAGAAACCGAGUCAUAUGAAUACAUCACACUGAACCGAUCAAACCAAAACACCAAUAUGAGGUAAAAAUAACAUUUUUUAAUAAUAUCAUCCAUAGUGUCUAGGCCAACUAAAAUGCUGCUAGUGUCUAGGCCAACUAAAAUGCUGCUCGAUUAAUCUCACUUGGGACAGAUGUUGGAUUGGACCAUACAAGUUAUCAAGAAACUCUAGGGUUUUGAAAGACUGGGCAACUGGAUACCACAAGAUAAAUUAUUGGGUUUCAGAAGACUAUAGAAGGUAGAUGGCAACCAUGAGACUAUUUUCAGGUUAUUGCUAUUAAUGUCAAAAAAGAUACGCCAUGUUUUGAUAAUAAUUCCCCAGUCAUUUCUUAGGACAUGAAAUCAUAUGCACAUCAACAAAAAGUGUAUAAAAAAGGUGAUAUAAGAUAUUACCUCUGAAAAAGAACAGGCACGAACAAUAUGCUUGUGCUCAAAUGAGUGCAGUACAUCUCCAGUUAAUGCAUCCCAUACUUUCCUGUAAGUUCAAUCACAAAUAUGAAGGAUUGUACCAAUGAUUCCAAACUCCAUUAUGAUCACAAAAUCACUUGAAAGAAAUGUCUUAACUUCUAUAGGAAAUGAAGUAAUAUUUAACAAACAAUAUUCUGUCAUCAAAAUAAGGCUUAUGAGAUUAAUCAGAAAAUAAUCACGACAAACUCUACCAUAUGCCCAAGGAGAGAGUGAGUAGUAAGAAGGUGUUGCAGUCUAGAGGAAGCAAAUGCUGGAGGGAAGGAGGAAGACCACAAUGAGUACUUCUGCCAAAAAGCCAAGGUGCAAAUGCAAUAGCAAGAGGCAUGCAAAAAGGUAGAAAAAGCAACUGUCCGGACAAUGUGAUGCCUCAGUGAUGUAGUUAUAAGUUCACCGUAGGCAGUCAGCCUUGGAGUUUAGUAUGUCAGUAGGUUGGUAGGUAGAUUUACCAACUAUUGUCUAGCAUCAUAAUUUAAGUUUCACAACCCCUGGCCCUAAUCAUAAUGGAGUCAUGUAAAUUCAGGCACAUUUUUGCCAAAAGAAAAAAAAAAAGCCUACAAUUCUGUAUCAUAAAAUCACCACAACGAGGCAAGCAUAGUUCAGUCAACUUUAACUCUGUAUCAUAAUGAAUGAUAAGUAAUUUCACAAACCAAAAUUUUGCAGCCUUCAACCAACUUUAAUGUUCAAAACAAUUGUUUAAAAAGAAAAACAUGUAAGAUAAGCAGAUCAAAUGCAAAAUGUUAACUAUAUUACCAAUUAAUGUAAUGUGCACUAAAAAAAGGGCCAUGAUUUCCUGACACUAUUUAUAGAGAAACAUUCAAAUAAAAUUAAUAACUGAUUUUGUUCUAUGAUAUUAUUUUUAGCUAUUAAAAAAAGGAACUAUAAAAAGGUCUUUUAUGAUCAUAGAUUCAUUUCAAAGAAAGUCAAAAUAAAAUCAUUGAGUACCCAUAUAUCCCGAUUCAUCUUUGUGUAUAACCCACUGAAUCAAGAAAUUUAAAAAGUAAACAGAAUACGCACUUUCCACUGCAUUAGAAGUCUAGGACCCUUUUCAAUUCCUUUUUUUUUUCUUUCUUUCAAUGCCUCCAGAAAUAAAACAUAAUUCAUCAACUUGUGUCAAAAAGAAAGUUGGUCUCAGUACCAUCACUCAAAUAAAAGCAAGCAAUAUCUGAUAAUCAUAACGAGGAAACAUGUAGGAAAUUGAAAGUGCUAAAUGUAUAUAUAGAAUAAUACACAGACCAAAAACCAGAACUCAGAAGAUGGGAAUCAAAUUCAUUAGAAUUUGAUAAGAUGAUUUAUUAUAAGUAAAAAUUCCAGAUCUACACGGAUAGGUUAAUCUAAAAAUGCUAUGAAAAUUCCCUACUCCCGAUCAAUGCUAUAAACAUUAUUUAAAAUUACCCCUCCUCAGUUCUGAGAGAAGAUAUCUAAUCAUAUACCGCAUACAAUGUUAUGACACUGAAAAGUCAAUGAUAUGUCAGUUCUUAAAACGUAUCAUGAAAACCAAUGAGAAGGACAUACGCUGAAAAAUCAGCAGAACCAGUAGCAGCACGUAAAGCAUUGGUAUCCAGACAACAACUCCAAACUGCGCCUUUGUGACCUUCAAAUGUACCAAUCCAAUCGCCAGUUUCACCAUUUCUAAGCAUGGGAUUGGAAUCUGAAUGGAGGACAAGAAUAACAUAUUCAAAGGCAACCCAUAAAAGUAAAGUCCGGAUUAAGCUUUGAGCAAACGACAUGGGAUUCAUUCAACAAAUCUCUCAUCAAAGAAAGCUAAAAUAGCAAUACCCACAUCUAGGACAACUAUCAAUUAAAGUCAAAAGAACUAACACUGGACAACAACAAAAAAGAAAAAAGAUCCAAAAUCAUAAUUAAUAUCCAGAAAGUUUGGCGAUUCAUAAAUUAAAGUCUUAAAUCAAAGCAAAAAUUUUAAAUCUUGAAUCAUACCCUUGCUGGCACUGAUGAGGAAGAAUCCAUCGGGCGUAACAGGGCUAUAAAAUAGAUCCACAACCGGUCGAGAAUGGCCAUGGCAAACGAGAGGAAUAGCCACUCUCUUCUUAUCCAUGUCAGACAAAAAAAAAAAAAAAAAAAAAGCUAAACUAGAGUUGUAUAAAACCUAAAACCUAGAAAUAAACUAUAGAUUUGUUGUGUGUUUUUAUUGAUGAUUGGUUUUAGAGGUGUAAUUGAAGAAGAAAUAAGGAAAUGAAAACCCUAAAGCCGAAAAUCCAGAGAAAUCAACAACCCAACUGUAAGGAGAAAGACGGCGAUCAGUUGUUAAAAUGAAAAGGUAAGCUGUGUUGAAAUUGUGAUGGAAGGAAAAAUUGGAGGGAGAAAUGGCGGUAUAUAACACAGGUGAUAGAGGCUAACAACAAAGCUAACACUUUAACACCUCCUAACCCUCUGAAAUGGCUCUGAUGAUAUCAAAAUUCUAAACCCCAAAAUUACAGAAAGAUCAACACUUUCAAAAAAGAAAAAAAAAUUCAAAAAAAAAAAAAGCUUAAAAAAGGAAAAUCUAAACAAAACAGAGCUUCCUAGAGAAGGGCUAGGCGCAACCAUAACUCUCUUCAGACCUGAUCUUAUAUAAACGUCAAAUUACUUUUUUUUCUUCUUCUCUUUCUUCUCUUUUCUUUUUUCCUAUCUUUUUUGAGCCGGGCUUGAGACCGGCCCAUUAAGACGUAAGCCCAUUUCAUCCUUCAUUUCUGAUAUUUUUUAUGGGCUGAUCAUACAUAAAUGGCAAAUCUUUAUUUAAUUUAAUAAAAUAGCAAAAUCCAAAACAGCCAAUGUAAAAAAAUAUAUAUAUAUUAAUAAUAAUAAUCCUAAAUACAAUUGUUCAAUAAACCACAAAUACUCUAUAAUUAAAAUCGAACUCCCAACACACAAUUAACACCUAUCAACAUCAAACUUCCAUUAAUUGGAGCUUCCACCUCGUCCCCUUCAAACCUUUCAAACUCUUCAUAUUUGGAUUUUCUUCUUAUCGGCUUAUCUGAUCGAAGACUUUGAAAUUUUCAUCUUGCUUGCUCCUUCGACUAGAAACUCACGUGUCGAACAACCUACUAAAAACUCCAAGAAGAACCACGACUAUAAAACAGAACACCCACGACGAAACUCAUAGUGAAACUCGCUGGGAACGCCACUCAAUCCUUCUAUCCUCCUGUCUGUGGCUAAAUUCGUGAAUGUCGACUAAACCUGACUCCAACAAACUCUGAAACGUCAAAACCCACUGCAAAUCCACGAUUAAUGUCACAAAGCUUUCGAAACGAAUGCUAGAGCCGUCGUAAACAGCCCCAAAAUUGUCAACUUCUAUCUGUCGACCAACGUCUCUCUUCCUGUUGGAACGCCACCGCACUCUUCUCUAUCAAUCUUUUUUGCUAGAAAAAACUUUCAUUCUACUGUGGUUUUUAGCUUUCGGCUGCCCCCUCUUCCUAUUCGUCCAACUUUUCUUUUCUCUAAUUUAAAAGACUCACGGAAGAAGAUUCAAUUAAUUGCAAAAAUACCAUUGAGACAUAAUUACAAUUUCACCGUCAACAUAAAACCCAUUUUAAAACAAAAAGUUUUGAAUCUUUCAGAUACUUUUGAAAUCUUUUAUGUUUUAACGUUUUUCAAUUUAUAUGUCUUCAAUAUUGGUGAUUUGUUAAAAUUGAGCUAUCCUUAGUGAUCAACUUACAAUAUAUAAUGCUUAAUGAAUGGAUAGAAAAAUGAAGAGGAAAAAAAAUAUUUAAGGUCGUUUAAGGAAUUGUAAUAAUUAUUGUUAUUAUUAAUAAAUCGUUUAAAAUAUAACAACCUCAUAUAUAUAUUUUUUAUUAUUAUAGGGAGGUUGCUGCAAUAUUGUCCAACAACAAAAUAACAUAUUUAGUUAAGAUUUACUAAAUUUAAAUGUUGUUUGUAAAAUACGGUGUCUUUAUGUUAUUUUCAAUAUCUUGUCUCAUUUUUUUGAGUUAUUCAAAUACAUAUAUGAUUAUUCUAUACCGAGUGGAAUUAUAUUAUAUCUUGAUGACCAAAAUUUUUGUUUAUAACAUUCAUACUCCACGUAUAAAUGAGAUUCAUAUAAAAACUAUUGAUUAUGUGAGAGAAAUGUUAUUUGAAUUAAUAUGAUUCGAAUUAAAUUAAAUAUGAUAUUUAGAGUUAUUAAUUCUUUAAUUGUUAAUUAAAUUUAAUAUAUAACUUAAAAUUAAAAGUAAAAUGAGAACAUGGUGGAGAGGAGUUGUAAAUCAUUUGUAAUUGCUUCUCCAUCUCUCUCCUCUCACGUAACAAAAGGGUUUUGCUACACAGAGAAGGAUUAAGGAUCCAAUCAUGAAUUUGUUCUCUACAAAAAUUCUCUUAUAACACCCUUUUUCUUUUUAUUUAAUAAGGAUUUCACACCUCCAACUUGUUAUUUAUUUGAAAAACCAUGCAGUUUCUAGCAUCGAAGGUCAUUGCUUCAAAUUAAGAAUGCUUAACUAUGAAGUUAUUAACAUUGGACCCACAAUGCAACUUGUUGAUAUAACUAAUAACGAUUUUUAGUUUUUUUUAAGUCUUUCUUAAACAUACUUUCAUAUAUCCCCAAGAUUCUUCUCACUCAAAUUUGAUGUCAGUCUAUUCAUAUCUCACAUCCUAAAUUUGAGGCGUGUUACAUCAACUUCUGCUUGGUUUGUCCUCGAAUCACAUUUUGCUAAGAGAGGUUCUGUUCUAAUACUAUUUGUAACGAACUCGAUAAUCUAAGACUAUUGAUAGGGUCAUUACCUUAUUAAGAAAUUCAUGAAUGGUAAAUGGUUAUAGUGAGAUGAAAUAUAUCGAUGUACUUGUAUAUUCGAGACAUAAAAAUUGAAUUUUGUAGCUAACGAAACGUUCAAUUAUCCAUUUUAUGUCAAUAGGUUAAUGAAGUUUAUAAAAUAAUGUCUAGGUCAAUGAUUUAUUAUACAAAAUUACAACUCCAAUGAUGUAUUAGAUAUACAAUAGAAAGUUUAAGGCCUUUGCUUGGACACCAAUUUUAAUAUUCAAUUUCCAUUAGACACUUGGAAAGUUUAAUCAAGUUUGCAAAUCUUUAAUACCUAAUAGCUAUUACUUUGCACGUGGUCAUCAUUUAUCUGAGGAAAAAAGCAAAAUAUUGCAAUUUAAUUGUAAUGGAUCGUGAUGGACUACUAUGUAUGAUUUUAUCAUGAUCGUGACAGACUACUAUGUAUGAUUUUAUCAUGAUCCAGAAAGACAUAAAUAGCUUUGUCAUUUGAAAUAACUUUCCUAAAAAAAUCAAGAAAUUGUAUUUCCAGUUUGUGUUCUAAUUUGACCAUCACUUCUGAUAUUGUUAAACGCCUUUCUUCCUACACAGCAAAUCACUUAAGAUUCUACAAAAUUGCAGUGUUGAGUGUCCUUGUAGAGUGGCAUCACACUUUCAACCUGAGAUUCCUUUAAUCCUAGUAACUGUCCAGUCACUCUAUUCAACAUGGAACAUAUCUCCAUCAUUUCUGGAUGAGAUGGAUCCCCGACAAGAAACUCGUGAACAAUGCCAUCAACUUCGAUCAAGCUACACCCAGGCAUCUUCUUCACUCCAAGUUCUUUCAUUUUCCUUCUCACUUUCUUUGCAUCUUCCCACCUAUCGACAGAAGCAUAUAUAUUCGCAAGAAGUGUGUGAAUGCUAGAAUCACAUGAUUCAAUGUUCUCCAGUUUUUUGGCCAGCCUUUCACCCAUGUCAACAUUAUUGUGGAUUCUACAAGCACUGAGCAAAGCACCAUACAGAGGAACCACAAUUUCGCAAUUUUCAAUCGGAAUCUCUUGUAUGAGUUCCUCUGCUUCAUCCAAUAACCCAGCUCUACCAAGAAGGUCAAUUACACACCCAUAAUGCUCUACCUUCGGCUCAAUUCGGUGAACCUUUUUCAUCGAGUUGAAAAACCUACGCCCUUCCUCAACCAGCCCACCAUGACUACAGGCACUUAAAACUCCAAUGAAGGUGAUAUCAUCAGGUUUAGCCCCCACACGUUCCAUUUCUGAGAACAGCCGGAGUGCUUCACUCGUCUUACCAUUCAUUGCAAGACCGCAUAUAAUUGAGGUCCAAGAUGCCGUGUCCUUGUCUUCUAACUCAUAGAAAAUUUCUAAUGAUUUAUCUACACAACCACAUUUGGAAUACAUUUCAAUGAGUGCAGUACCAACAACCACAUCCAUUGUUAUUCUGUUUUCAUCUAGGUAUCCAUGAAUCCAUUUCCCUUGUUCUAGAGCUCCCAACUGCGCGCAACCUGUGAGGAGAGUGACCACUGUGAACUUAUCAGGUUUUACCCUUUGAAUUUGCAUUUCGCGAAACAGAGCCACAGCAUCAUCAAAAUGGUGGAACUGCACAUACCCAUUUAUCAUAGCUGUCCACAAAACAACAUCUCUAACUGGACUUUUGUCAAACAAGUCUCUAGCCUCUCUUAAAUCACCACAGUUUAUAUAGCCAGAGAUCAUGCUAGUCCAACAAAUUACAUUUUUCAUAGACAUUUCAUCAAAUAUGUUGCGGGCAAUAUUUAGACAACCACAUUUUGCAUACAUAUCUAAUAAGGCAUUGUCGAUUCGAGUGGUAAAACCAAGCUCCUUUCUAACAUAGUUGUGAAUUUCAUCUCCAAGCUCCAGAUUUUUCAGUGCUGUACAAGCAGAAAGAGUGCUAACUACAGUAGCUUCAUCAGGUUUCUCAUUGCCCUCUUGCUGCAUUUCCCUAAAUGUAUUGAUAGCAUCCUCAAAUCUACGACACCUAACAUACCCAGAAAUCAUAACAUUCCAAGAAACCGAAUCUCUAGUCGUCAUUUCAUCAAAUAACUUCUUAGCAUUCUCAACAUUGCUUAAUUCAUAAUACAUAUCUAUAAGUGAAUUAUAGACAUAAUUAUCCAAAUCCAUUCCUGUCUUCACUAUAAAGCCACGAACCUUUUCACCUUGCCUCACGUCCCGUAAGCAACCAAUAGCUUUCAGAACAAAUGGGUAAGUAAAACCAUCAGGCCACAAUCCAUCUUCCCUCAACUGUUGAAAGAGCAAAAGGACUUUUCUGAGAAUACCCCUUUUGGCAUACAUUUUAACCAUCACAUUAUAAACAAACAGAGAUGGGUCUUGAACAUAAUUGAAUAUCUUCUCUGCAUAGCGCAAGUUGCCAAGAGAUGAGUCUGCACAGAAUGCCAUCAAUUUGUUUAUUGUGUCCCUGUCUCCUUCAAGACCAAUUCGAAAGAUCUGACUCUGAAUUUGUUUGAGUUGAUCCAUGGACUUGCAGUUCCGAAGACACUCGAUGCAUGAUUUCUUUGUUAGUUUGGAGAUUCGAAGCAGAACUGGAACUAAAUGGGGGCUUGAAGAAAAAUGACGGGAUAUAAACUGGACUCUUCGAAUGAUUGAUAAAGGAAGCAUGUGCGAGCUUUGUGAGUGUUUGAAGAAUUGGAAAAUCUAAUAAAACAAACAGAAAGAACACGUUAGUUCAUAGGAUAUUAUCUUAUGCAGGGAUGUGUGUGUAACAAGAAAGUGAUAAAGAUAUGCCACUAAUAAAAGCAUGCUUAAUUACCUCUGAAAAAGCAAAGGCACAAUCAAAAUGCUUCUGCUCGAAUGAGUGCACUACACCUCCAGGUUAAUGCAUCCUAUACUUUCCUGUAAGUUUAAUCACAAUAUGCAGGAAUGAUUUCAAUCUUCAUUGUCCACAAAAUCACUAGAAAGAAACAUUUAACUUUCCUUUCAAAUAAGGUGUUAUUUACUUAUUAUUAUUAUAGGAAAUGGAGUAACAUUUAACAAACAAUAUCCUGUCAUCAAAAUAAAGCUUACGAAUAAUCAAUCACAAAAUAAUUACGACAAACUCUACCAUAUGCCCAAGAAAAGGGUGAGGAGUAAGAAGGUGGUGCAGUCUAGAGGAAGCAAAUGCUUGGGGGAAUGGAAAAAGACCACAAUGAGUACUUCAGCCAAAAAGUCAUGGUGCAAAUGCAAUAGCAAGAAAGUCAAAAUAAAAUUAAUAACUGAUUUUAUUCAUUGAUAUUAUUUUUAGCUAUUAAAAAAAGGACCUAUAAAACGAUCUUUCAUGAUCAUAGAUUCAUUUCAAAGAAAGUCAAAAUAAAAUCAUUGAGUACCCAUACAUCCCAAUUCAUCUUUGUGUAUAACCCACUGAAUCAAGAAAUUUAAAAAGUAAACAGAAUACGCACUUUCCACUGGAUUAGAAAUCUAGGACCCUUUUCAAUUCUUUUUUUUUCUUUCCUUCAAUCCCUCUAGAAAUAAAACAUAAUUCAUCAACUUGUGUCAAAAAGAAAGUUGGCCUGAGUGCCAUCACUCAAAUAAAAGCAAGCAAUAUUUGAUAAUCAUAACGAGGAAACACAUAGGAAAUUGAAAAUGCUAAAUGUAUAUAUAGAAGAAUACACAGACCAAAAAGCAGAACUCAGAAGAUGGGAAUCAAAUUAAUUAGAAUUUGAUACGAUGAUUUAUUAUAAGUAAAAAUUCCAGAUCUACACGGAUCGGUUAAUCUAAAAAAGCUAUGAAAAAUUGCUACUCCCAAUCAAUGCUAUAAGCAUUAUUUAAGAUUUCCUCUCCUCAGUUCUGAGAGAAGAUAUCUAAUUUAAUUAUAUACCGCAUACAAUGUUAUGACACUGAAAAGUCAAUAAUAUGUCGGUUCUUAAAACGUAUCAUGAAAACCAAUGAGAAGGACAUACGCUGAAAAAUUAGCAGAACCAGUAGCAGCACGUAAAGCAUUGGUAUCCAGACAACAACUCCAAACUGCGCCUUUGUGACCUUCAAAUGUACCAAUCCAAUCACCAUUUUCACCAUUUCUAAGCAUGGGAUUGGAAUCUGAAUGGGAAUAACAUAUUUAUAAGGCAACCCAUAAAAGUAAACUCCGGAUUAAGCUUUGAGCAAACGACAUGGGAUUCAUUCAACAAAUCUCCCAUCAAAAAAGCUAAAAUAGCAAUACCCACAUCUAGGACAACUAUCAAUCAAAGUCAAAAGAACUGACACUGGACAAAAAAAAAAAGAUCCAAAAUCAUAAUUAAUAUCCAGAAAAUUUGGCGAUACAUAAAUUAAAGUCUUAAAUCAAAGCAAAAGUUUUAAAUCUUGAAUCAUACCCUUGCUGGCACUGACGAGGAAGAAUCCAUCGGGCGUAACAAGGCUAGAAAAUAGAUCGACAAUCGGUCGAGAAUGACCAUGGCAAACGAGAGGAAUAGCCACUCUCUUCUUAUCCAUGUCAGACAAAAAAAAAAUUAUACUAAACUAGAGUUGUAUAAAACCUAGAAAUAAACUGUAGAUUUGUUGUGUUUUUAUUGAUGAUUGGUUUUAAAGGUGUGAUUGAAGAAGAAAUAAGGAAAUGAAAACCCAAAAGCUGAAAAUCCAAAGAAAUCAACAACCCAACUGUAAGGAGAAAGACGGCGAUCAAUUGUUAAAAUGAAAAGGUAAGCGGUGUUGAAAUUGUGAUGGAAGGAAAAUUGGAGGGAGAAAUGGCGGUAUAUAACACAGGUGAUGGAGGCUAACAACAAAACUAACACUUUAACACCUCCUAACCCUCUGAAAUGGCUCUGACAAUAUCAUAAUUCUAAACCCCAAAAUUACAGAAAGAUCAACACUUCCAAAAAGAAAAAAAGAUUUUAAAAAAAAAGCUAAAAAAAGGAAAAUAUAAACAAAACAGAGCUUCAUCAUAAUUUUUCUAAUAAGACUAUACCCAGUCCUAAUUUGAGUAAAUCUUUCAAACUUCCAGCAUCGUGAGUCGGUACUAACCUCCCGCCUUCCCUCCGUAGUCAGCUCUGGUACGCCUGCUGGAGUUUUCCCCCUCUCCUCUUCAAGUUCGUAAGAUUGAAGUUUUAUGAUCUUUCAACUUUCCAUUUCUUCAUGUGCAUGCCUUGUGCCAGUUUGAUUUGGGAUUAAUGUUGGGAAGGAUUGAUAUCGGGUAGUGUCUAGAGUUUCCAGUUAUGUUUUGUUUGCGGGGCUUAACUGUAAAUGGUGACCGACGGGGGGUGACUGGCGAGGCAAAGGAGAUUGAAUAGAAAUAGAUGGAGACGGCUGGCUGGCGUGGCGGUGGAGAUCGAAGAGAUGGAAGAAGAGAAGACGGAAAACGAAGGAGGAUGAGGAGAUGCGAGAUGAGAGGGAUGAAGAGACUGCUAGGAGUGGGUUUAAAAAAAAACAUCACUCCAAACUAAACUUAUAUAUACUUCAGUUCCGUUCAAUUUGAAAAGGAGUUUUUAAAAUAGACCGAACCAUUUAAAUUCGGUUUGGACUAUUUGAGACAGCAACAUUUUUUGUUUUCUACAUAAAUGGUGUGGUUUGAUUCGGUUUUAACAAGCGGUUCAAUUUAUACCGUUUAGACUUGAUCUUAUAUAAUGUGAAAUUAUUUUUUUUUUCUUUGAAUUUUUGUCUAAGUGGUAUACCAUGUUACAAAAUUGCAAUAAAUUUUUUAAAAUUUUCAAAAAUAUCAUAAAUUGACUAAUAUUUUAUACAAAUAUAGAGUAAAAAUGACCAAUUUACUCUUUUUAUUAUUAAUAAUAUAUUAAAAAGAAAAAGAAAAGUGAACACGUUUAAGAUUUUCAUUUAUUAAAUAUUCUAUGAAAAUAUGGAUUAAAUUCUAUUAAAGUAAUAUUAAUAAUAAAAAUUGUCCUUAGUUUGCUUUUUAUGAUUUUAUUAAAUUGUCCUUUUUUAUUUUGCAUUCUUUUUCAUAUAUUUUAUAUAAUUAUAGUAUAUAUUGAAUAAUAUAAUGUAUCUUUUAUUAGUGAAAUGUUCUUAUAUCAAUUUAUUUAUUUAUUUUAUUUAAAUAUUCAUAUCUUACGUAGUAAAUAAUACAUUAUGUUUGAAAUAAUAUUAUUAUAUAUGAAAGUUGUUUAUGUUUACAAGAACAUGAAUGAGAAAUAAUUAUGAUGAGUAUAUGUAAUAUAUGUCAUUAAAAUAUUUGUUAUUCUCUAGUAUAUGUAAUAGGGGUGUUCAAAAUGAAGUUGAAAACUGAAUCGAAUCACUAAUCGAACCGAAAUCGAAUGCAUAUGGUUCGGUUCGAUUCGAUUUCUAUUUCAAAAAAACCACAUAAAAUUCGGUUCAGUUCAGUUUAAGAUGUUAAGAACCGAUUCUCAAACCGAACUGAAUUGCUUUAUUUUAAAAACUAAAUAUAUAUAUAUAUAUAUAUAUAUAUAUAUAUAUAUGUUAAUAAUAAGACUUUUUUAGACUUCAAAGCGGGUAUAGAGGCAAAAAUCAAUGAGAGGAACGAAAAGGAGAAGAAUGACAUAAUCAAAACGUAAAUGACAAAUUGUCUUGACGAAGUUUGUAUGACUGUAGGACUUUUAUUCAUCGUAGGUGGAUUUUAAAACUUCUAUGUGUUGUUGGACUUUCAAAUUUCAAUGUUUGAAACAUCUAUGUCUGUAAUUUUGAAAUUUCUAUGUUUAUAACUUUGUAUAAGCCGUUCGGUUUUGAUUUGAUUUUAUUUAUGUAUAUGUGGUUCGGUUUUCAUUCGGUUUGGCAUAGAUGAGCGGUUCGGUUCGGUUUCAAUGAAGAUGUUUUUUAUCAUUUUGCGGUUCGAUGCGGUUUUAGCUUCAAACCGAACCGCGAACACCACUAAUAUGUAAUGUUGAGAUCAACUGAAUAUGUUUGUAAUGUAGGGACUUUGAUGAAAGAAUUGAAGAUUCAGGAAAUUGUAUGAAAAAAAAUGGUUGAAUGUUAAAUUGACUUAUGAAUAGUGUUAUGAAACAAUACAUUAUAUAUUUUAUGAAUGAAAUGUUAUGCAAUCAAUUUGUUAAACUGGUUUAUUUAUUUUAUUUCAAAUAUUUAUUUUAUAUGUAAUAAAUAAUAAGUUAUGUUUGAAAAAGCAGUAUAAGGAUAUAUCAUAAUAUAUAUUGUUCAUUUAAGGUUAGUAAGAAUUUUAUAUUUUGUAUUUGAAAUAUACUAUGAUAUAUUGAGUACAUCAAAGAUGACAUCAUUUAUGUACUAUUUGUUGGAAUUUUUUGUCCUAAAACUCGUAGUUUGUAAAUCAUAUUCUACUCAAUAAAGUUGUUAUUGAGAAAUUAAAUAUUAUAAUCUUAAAUCCAAUAAAUCAAGUUCCAAGACUAUUUUUUGAAUAAACUUGAACUUUAUGUGUAAACAUAAACGUGGAUCAAGUUCGAGUAUAUAGCCUAAAUAGUCUAUAGUAUAUGAAAUAAAGGUUGGGCGCCUUAUUUAGAGAAACUAUGGAUGCGGCCCACUUUGUAGUACAAACGAGGUGAUCCUAAUCGUUCAUGUAGAGACAUGAAAGUGGGGGCAUCCUAUGUAAAAUGUUUACAUAAGACUGAACCAUGAAUUAGUCAUUUUUACGUUAUAACACCGUUUACUGUUUAAAACUGACUAUCUCAAUUAUUGAUGACCUAGGUAACUUAGUCUUAAUCCUGAGUUAACUAUGAACUCCUGUUCACACGAGAUUAUCCUUAGAUCUGCAUAGGUGAGGGCAGCUCAUCAGCGUUGGCCCAAUAAGCCUCCCAUUUCAGGGGUAAGAUCGGGUGGAUAGCUGGGAACAUAGGGUACAAGAUGGAAUUCACUCCUACCCGCUUUAGGGUUAGUAGAUAGGUUGCUCUCUUAAGCACUGAAUCCAAGUCUUGAACAAGGGGCCCCACCCUCUCAUUGGCUCGAGAGGGAUUAAGUUUAUAGGUUGAACCUUAAACCAAUUGUUCAAUAGUGGAUUAGUGGGACUUAAGGAGCAAGAUGUAAUCUUGGGGGUAAAACGGUAUUUUGACCCAGCCAAGGUUACGAGCAACCUGUGAAGGAUUAACUUACUGAUUAUGGUUUUAUCAAAUGGACACAAAUAUAUCUAUAGUGAGGGGAGUGCAACUACGGGACUUUAGUGGAAUGACCCGUUAGUUAACGAAUGUUGAUUAACUCGGUUUAAAAGAGUUUAGCUAGUUAAUCUUGAAUCGUUGGAGCCCAUGAUCUAUAGGUCCAUUAGGUUCCUCUGCUAGCUCAUAUGGAUUAAACUUAGAACAGUGUGAUGAAAUAAGUCGAAUUGUUCGAAUUGGGAGAAGAAAGGGAAACCGACAAAUAUAGUGAUAUAGUCGUCGAUCUUCUAAUUAGAAAUAGAGCUUUAUGUUUUACAUACUAUAAGUAUGAAUGCGGAUUCAUACUAAGAAGCUCGGAAUUGGUCAAAAAUAGUAAAAAGUCAAAAUGUUGACUUUUGACUUUGAAAAGUCAAACUUUGACCGGCCUUAUAUUCAAAUGUGAUUUGAAUUUUGGAAAAAUGAAUGCGGAUUCAUGCUCGGGAGGUUGGAAUUAGUCAAGACGGACAAAAUGGUAAAAAGUCAAAAUAUUGACUUUUGACUUAGAAAAGUCAAAGUUUGACUUUUGACUAGAAAUAUCUAAUGACCAUUUUACCCUUGGACUAAGUUAGUGGGAAAAUCCAACAUUUUGUUGGAUAAUCCCACUAACUCUUAGUGGGAUAUGUGGCUAUAUGAGAUAUAGACACCUAGCCCACUAAGUUCCACUAAUUGUUAGUGGAACAUUAGGUGUUGAGAUUUGGCAAAUGAAUUGCAUGCAUUUUUGCAUGCAAUUAGGCUAUAAAUAGAGGUGUUUUCAAAUGUUGAAGGACUUUUGCCUCUUUUAUCAUUUUCAUCAUCUCAACAAAAGAAAAAAAAAAAAACUUCCAAUCUCAUUUUAUCUCCAUUAUUUUCUACACCAAAAUUGGGUCCCACAACCCGGUUCUUUGUCUAGAGGAUAGCAGUUGAGUACUAGUGGUGGUCUCGGGUAGAAUUGGUAAGAAGACAUCAAACCUUUUGAAAGCUUCAAAGGUAAUACUUCUUAAAACUCUAAUUUGAUUAGUUUAUGGUUACAUGUUAAUUGUGGCAAUUAGGGUAGAAAUUCGAUUCUUUUUCCGCUGUGCAUGACUUAGUUCUAUCACUAUUGAAAAUAUGAAGUAGUAUAUAUAUGUAACAAAUCACAUAAGAUAUAUGUAUCAUGUACUAGUAUAUACGUCAUUAUUUAUAUAUACACACCUAAUGAAAAAAAGUAGAGUGUGUGGGACCCACGUAUAUAAAUAAUGAGAAAAUAAAAAAUGUUGGCCCAAUGUAAUAUAUAUAUAUAAAGUAAAAAAUAAACUAUGUAGGAUCCACUGCAUGAAAAUUGUGUACGGGUACAAAACUUCACCUCAACUCACCUAUUUUUGUCAAUAGUUUUGCAUUCACCUACUUUUGACAUAUGUUUCAAAAUUUACAUUAUUUUUUAAAAAAAGUUCUAUACAUAAUAAAUAAUAACUCGUGAUUGAAACAAGAGUGGUUAUGUAUGAAAGAUAGUAUAUUAAAUAUAAUAAAUUAAAAAACUUUGAUUGGUAUCGUAGAUGAAAAUUUAUGAAAAAAUAUAGAAAUAAAAUAACUAAAUUAAAAACUGAAAUAUGAAUAUUUCAAAUAAAAGUAUAAAUCAACCUACUAAAAGUUUAAUAAUAAGAAAGAAAAAUUAGUUCAAUAAGGAAAGCUUGCAUCUCUUUCGUUUAUGACAACCACAUUUAAAACUUCAUUUUAGAAUGAAUUCUAAUAUUUUUUUGUUGACCAACUGAACGUUUUACAUUCAAUGAGAUGAUGUCAACUUCAAUUACUGUAUUAUUGAAUAUAUGCAUUAGUAUGUAUGUAACAAAUCAAAUAAAAUACUAAUCGAAUAUAGAAAAAUAUAAAGAAAAUGAUACAAAACGUGAAGGAAAAAAACUGAACUAUAUAUGUGUCACAAAAUACGUGUUAUUAUAUUUAUAUAAAUGUAUAUAUUGAUAACAUCACCUGUCUAUGUAGUGAUAUAUAUUGAAAUUCAACUAUAAAUUAUGUAGAACUAUAUGUCACUAAAUAUUUAUGUUGUAAAUAAGGUGUAUCUAUAUAUUAAAUCACAUCAUAUCCUUGUAAUAGUACUAUAGAUAUGACUCACUUUAUAUUUGAUACAAACACAAUGAUCAAACUCUUUCGUGUAGGUGACAAGCGAGUGAGGGUAUCCUAUGCAAUGAAUUUACAUAAAACUGAACCACGAAAUAGUAAACCACUAGAUGAAACUCUAUUAACUAGUUGAGUUUCUAUUCCAUUAGGAUGACCUAGGUAACUUAGUCUUAAUCCUGAGUGUAUUAUGAGCUCAUGUUCACGAGGGAUCGUCCUUUGAUUUGUACAAGUGAGAGCGACAAGAUUAUGAACUCAAUAUGCUUAUCAUUUUGGGUACAGGACCAAGUAGGGAGUUAGAAACAUAAUCACACAAAAUGGAAUUCACUCAUUCCCGACUUUAGAGUAAUUGAAUGAGUGUUCCCUUAAAUUGUGUUUUUUAGACCUGAACAAAGGACCCUCUCUCUUUGGCACAACAUGGGUUCUUAUUUAAUGGUUGGACCAUAAACAUGUUCAUUAGAGGAGCAACGAUAAUUUGACCUAGCUGAUGUUACGAACACUUAUGAAGGAUUAACGUACUAUUAUUGGUUUAUAUCCAAUGACAUAAAAAUACAUAUACGAUAAGAAAAGUUCAGUUGUGAGUCUUUAGUAGCGGGUACACACAGUUAACGAAUAUUAGUUAAUGUGGUUAAUAAGUUUAGGCAAUUAAUCUCAUGUCGUUGUAGUUUUUUAUCUAUAGGUCCAUUAGGUCCCCUUCUUAACUCGUAAAGGAUAAUAAGAUUUAUUUAUAUUGAUUGUAAUUUGAAAUGUUCAAAUUUAUUUUGGGAAUGAAUAUAAUGUAUGAUGAUACAUUAUUAUAUAAAAUUUAUAUUUUAAUUAAACUUUAUUGUAUAAAUUUAAUUUGGAUAUGAUUCAUAAUUAAUUUAUG